UAUUUUAUGUAUUUCAUUAUCAAAUGCUGGCCGUUGGGACCCUAUCUACAUCUAUUAAUAAGAUUAACAGGUGCCAGACUAGGCCAUUACAAAUUAUCCCCUCAUCAGAUAUUUCGUUAAAAUUCAUUCUGAAACACUAAAACUAAAUAAUUGAAUAUGGCUUUGCGGGUCGAUGAUGCCAGCAGCAAUGAGACUGCAAUUAUCACUUGUUUAGUUUCUGUGCUUGCCGUGGUUUACUUCGCAUGGAAUGUGAAAAAAUCAAGGAAAGCAAAUGCUAAACUUCCACCAGGACCUCGCGGCUUGCCUGUAGUCGGAUACCUCCCAUUUCUCGGAACUACUGACUUGCACAAGAAAUUCACGGAAUUAUCCGGAGUUUAUGGUCCGAUCUUCAAGCUCUGGCUCGGAAACAAAUUAUGUGUCGUGGCGAGCUCACCUUCCCUAGUUAAACAAGUGGUUCGAGAUCAAGAUACAACAUUCGCCAACCGUGACCCGCCGAUCGCUGUACUAGCGUUCACCUAUGGUGGCAAUGAUAUUGCAUGGUCCAAUUACGGUCCCGAAUGGAGAAAUUUGCGCAAAGCUUUUGUGGGCAAGAUGAUGAGUAACGCAAGCCUUGAUGCUUGUUAUGCUCUAAGAAAACAAGAGGUUAAAAAUACUAUCAGGGAUUUGUACAACAACGACAACAAAAUUGGUAAGCCCAUCGACAUUGGUGAAUUGUCAAUUUCAACCUUGGUAUGUGUUAUUCAGAACAUGCUGUGGGGUGAAGCGCUUGAAACAAGAGAGGAAGGGAUCACUAAUCUUGGGGCUGAGCUAAAAUUUAAGCUGGCAGAACUCAUGGUCCUAAUGGGAACACCGAAUAUUUCGGACGUCUUUCCAGUGCUUUCAUGGUUUGAUAUACAAGGUAUAGAGAGGAAAGCAAAGAAGAUUUCACUCUGGUUUGAAAAUAUUAUAAAUUCUACUGUUGAAAAGUAUAGAAGCAAGGACUUUAUUGUUGAAGGUAAAGAAAGAGCAGGGGAAAAUUUUGAAGGAUCAAGGAACAAGAACUUCUUGCAGUUACUAUUGGAGCUUCAAGAAAAUGAAGACGGUUCUUCCUCAAUUAGCAUGAACCAAUUUAAGGGCGUGCUCGCGGUAUGUUAAGCAACUAGCCACGAACAGUUAUACAAGCACAGUUGUAUAUUUGCAUGAGUGACGCUUCUCAACUUUUUUUAAUUUUUUAAAUUAAAGUUUUAUUGUAAUCUUUUGAACAGGAUAUAAUUACGGGUGGAACCGACACCACAACUACGAUGGUGGAAUGGACAAUGGCAGAGUUGAUGCAGCAUCCACAAGUAAUGAAGAAAGUUCAGGAAGAAUUAGCUCAAGUUGUGGGCAUGGACAGUUGUGUUGAAGAAUUUCAUUUGCCUAAACUGAAAUAUUUAGAUGCUGUGGUGAAAGAAUCGUUUCGUCUGCAUCCUGCAGUGCCUUUAUUAGUACCACGCAGAGCAAGCGAGAGUGGCAGCAUUGGUGGCUAUACCAUUCCCAAAGAUACAACUCUUAUGUUGAAUGUUUGGGCUAUCCACAGGGACCCUCAACUUUGGGAUAAUCCCUUAGAAUUUCGACCCGAGAGGUUUCUGAAUGUUGGUGUCGAGAGUAAGUUCGAUUACUCAGGUAACAAUUUUCAGUACUUACCUUUUGGUUCUGGUAGAAGAAUGUGUGCUGGGAUUCCUCUAGCUGAGAGGAUGCUGAUGUUUGUUUUGGCUUCGUUAUUGCACUCAUUUGAGUGGGAAUUGCCAGCUGGCACAAAGCUAAAUUUAUCUGAAAAAUUUGGGUUUGUCAUUAAGAAAAAAGAGCCUUUGGUUGCUAUUCCAACACCAAGACUAUCCAAUUCAGAGCUUUACCAUUAAAACAGAAUGAUUGUGAUGAUUUUGUUAGUAUCGGAAGAUUUGUAUGUUAUUUCAAGUUCAAUCGUAAUAAAAUAUUUUAAUAAAAGUCCUCCGUUGCUAAUUUUUUUUUUCAACGGCAUAAUCUGUCAUCAUGCUUGUGUUUGGAGCUACUUUGGAAUGAUUAUUUUUGAAUUACAAUUUAUAAAUAUUUAGGUUUUAAAUUUUUUAUAAGAGUCUAAAUUUAUACACGUUCAGUAAAAGAUUCCCUAAAAGCUUUACAAUUCAAAAUUCUAUUAAAAGUAUAGAUGAAACUUUUAUACCUACUAAUUUUUUGGUCUAUUCUACAAGUUUAAAGAGGAGAUAUUUCUAGAGCUAGCAAAAAGAGCUACCUGAUUGUUUUCGCGUUAUGUCAAUUUUUUUAUUGUGUUAAAUUUAAUUUGACCCACAUAUGACCCAUUUAAUAAUCGUGUCAAAAUAUUGAAACUUGAACUUGAUACGGAAAAUAAAUGGAUGACCACACACACCCAUUUAAGAAUUAGGUAACUAUGUCACUUAAUACGACAUAACCCAAUAACUCGUUUAAUACAUAUUUAACAUAAUUUACAUUGUACAUUGUACACCCUUUUGUCAUAAAUUACACUAUUUUAUAUUUCUAAAUAAUAUUAUAUAUUGAUAUUAUAAAAAAAUAUCAAUAAUCUCAAAAUUUGUACACCUCCUAACUUUUAAAAAGAAAUAAAAAAACUAAUUAAUUAAUGUUUAUUUUAUUCAUUAAUAUAUCAUAAUCCUACAUGUAUUUUAUUUGUUAUUUUUUUUAUUUAAAAAGAUAGGAGGGUGGAUGAAACUCAAAUAAAUUUUUAGCCUAUCCUGAUCUUUCAAGUUUCUUAUUUAGGAGGCCAGUUAAAAAAAAUUACUUAGAAAGCUACUCCAUCAAUUUAACAAAUUUUAUUUAUUUAAUUAAUGGAGGUGUAGAAAAUAAAAGUAUCUGCAAGCACAUUGCAAUAGUGAAAGCAAUGUACCGGUGUUGCAACAUAACUGAAUCUUGAUAACCUAUCACAUAUUUUAAGUUUUAAUAUUGGUAGUUCACGGAUCGGUUUCUACUUCCACGAACAAUUAUUGAAGGAAAUGAGUUUUUUUUUUAAUGAAUAUUUAUAGACCCCGAUUAAAUAUUCGAAUAUAUAAUAAAAGAGAAACUGACAUAGAAAUGAGAAAGAUAUUUGGAGGAGGCCAAAAAAAAAAAAAAAAAUGCAACAGAGAAUUAGAUCAGCAACACAAGUAACUAAUUAAUUCAUCUAUACAUCAUAAUCCUAUUUGUAUCUUCUUCCUUCUACUAAUUUACAUAUAAAUUUGGUUAGAUAAAACAUAUUUUAAUACUCGGUCACAAGCGGUGGAUAUAGAAAAUUAAUUUAGAGGGGGUAAUACCAUAACGAAAAAUAAUGAUUCAUAACUAAAAUCAACCCCAACAUCAAAACUUAUUUACAAGAUUACGCCCAGUCAAAGGUAAUUUUUCCUAAAAACUAAUACGAAAUUAAAUAAAUUUAACUUUUAGUGGGUUCAAGUGCCCACGCAUUCUGAACGUAGAUCCACCCCUGGCCCCGACUGAAGCAUUUUUUACAAUAUGUACUCAGUUUAUCAACAGGAACAACCUUCCACUUUAAAUUAAAAUUUUCACUUAAAAAUGAUUAAUGUUAAUGAGGUUAGCAACAAAAAUGAGUUUAAUUAGAGAAUAUUAUAAGAGAAAUUAUAUUUUUUGACUUUUAAUAAAUUAAAAUAUUAUUAGUUGGUGGUGGUUUCACGUCAGAUUAAGACGUGACACUUUACUUAUGAGGUCGAGACAAUCGACUUAAACUAUUUCAAUGCAUUUGAAAUUUGCACUAAUGGCUAUCAUUCUUUGUCCAAAUUAAUACGAUAAUUAAUAACAUACAAUUGAAAUAAUUAAUACUAGCACUUGGCAAUAAAUAAAGCUCUUGUGCUUGAAUCGUCACACAUGAUCACUUCAUUCCUUUAUUUACUUUGCUACCACAAAUUUUGAGGCAUUAUAACUAAAUAAUAAUUGAAUAGGGCUUUGUGUUACUUGUUGUGCGCGCGGAAUGCGGAAUCAAGCACACCAAAUUAUUACAGAAAAAUAAAGGACACAAUUAUUUGACGUGGUUCGGUAAUUAAACUUACAUCCACGGAGGCAAGAAAGAAUAAUUGUUUAUUUAACAAUUAAUAGAGUACAAAUAUUUGAGUAACGAAUCUCACUUCUCAGAAACCUAAAUAUACCCAAUACUCUCACACUCUGCAGGAAAGAUAAAUUAUCCAAACACACUUCUCUCACUUCUCUAAAAAACUUAAAAAUUUAAAAACUUAACAAUUUUGGAAUGCUUUAGAAUAGAAGAAGUGCCAUCUUAUAGGAAAAAUAAUGAUACUAUUGCACCAACCUCUUUACUAUUCCACCUAACAUAAGCAAAUUGUCAAUAGUGUCCAUUUAACUUUUUAUUUUUUUUCUUCAAUUGUUUAGUAGCCCUUUAAAAAUCUGCGUGGUUUCUUGAAAUUUAGAUGCCACAUGCAUGACUUUUCAACACUAAUUACUACGAUAAUUAAUAUUAGCACUUGGCAAUAAAUAAAGCUCUUGUGCUUGAAUCGUCACACACGAUCACUUCAUUCCUUUAUUUGCUUUGCUACCACAGAUUUUGAGGCAUUAAAACUAAAUAAUAAUUGAAUAUGGCUUUGUGCGUCGAUGACGCCAGCAACAAGGGGACCACAAUUAUCACUUUUUAAGUUGCUUUUAAAAUUGAUUUUAAUAGUGAUUUGAUUAUUGUAGUGUUUUUAUUUUUAUAUUAAAAUUAAGUCGAUUUGUUAUAAUAAACUUAGUUGAGUUUAAUGGUAUUACUACAUAAAUUGAAUAGUCAUCAAAUAUUUUAAUGUUUUUAUGGCAAGUGUUGACGUGGCAUUUAUUUGUUGUAUGAUGGAUUUUAAAAUUUAUAAAAUUAUUUGUUAUUAAAUUACCCCCAGAUGCUGCAUCACCUGAAACUUAAUAAAGGGCAUGUAGCAUUGCCAUUACUCAACAUUCACUCUUAUGACUUUAUGACAUUAGAAUUAAAAUCUUUCGUACAUUUAAUUUGUUUGCUUCCAGAUUAAUCUUUAAAAAUAUUUUUUUCACAUUAUCAUGAAUGGACAAAACUCCAACGAAAAUAACUACGCAAGAGCAAUCUAUGCUAGUAUUAUAUGCCACGAUAUCUAUAACUUUGUCAGGUCUCAGGAUCGAUCAUUCUAAUUUUUACGCAGAACUUUUAAUCAAUGGACAAACACCUCACCGAGCUUGUCGGCAGCAUUACUACGAUGUAAAAUUGUACCGGAAUAUCUUGAAGUAUUAGUAGAAUAAUGAAGACUAUUUGGAGCAAUAAAAACAAAUAACGCAGAUAAAAAAAAUGGCUAAAAUUAUGUAAGUGAGCCCCAAAGUUUUUGCUAUUUCCAGGAAAUCCCAAAUUUGAAUGGACUAGAGGGAGGCACGUAAGAAAUACAUUUUCUUCCUAGACAAUGACAGCUAUGACAUCAAGCCACGUAUUGAAAUUAAGGUGUAAUUAUUCAGCCAAUGAGCCUUACACACCAAGAUGUAUAAAAGUCAAGAAAAUGAAAUUUUAUCCCAAUUAAAACACUUUCUGGCUGCAAUUGGCUGUUUCCAUUUGAAGUUAAAAAACAACAACGUUUCUUUCGUUUUGUGGGCGAUUCGAUUGAGCACGCGCCACGAGCUAGCUGGCUUCCAGUGCUUGCGUGUGACAAUAGAAGGCUAGUGAUUUCACUUUCGCUUUUUUUUUUUUUUCUUUUUUUUGGGGAAUCAAGAUAAAAGCCAAGAAAAUGAAAAUUGGGCUGUUUCCAUUUGAAGUUAAAAACAGUGUUUCUUUCGGGGCGUCAAUUUGAUAUUUGAAUGGACAGGCAAGUAAGAAAUACAAUUCCUUCAUAGACAAUGACAACGAGGACAUCAAGGCACAUCAUUAUAGUUUGUAGCCCAUCUACAUUUAAACGAUUAAUAAACAAGCUUAGGUGUGCCACUGCUAUUAUUAAUUAUCCCCUGAUCAUUAUAGUUUCUGAAACAGUAAAACAAAACGAAAUUGAAUACAUCAACGAGAUCGCAAUUAUCACUUGUUUAGUUGCGGUAUUUAACUUAAUUUUAAUCUAAUAUAUUUGUUAGUUAAACUUUUAAUAAUCAAAUAAUUUUGACUUAAAAAUAAAAUUAUAGAAAUUAUUAAUUAUUAAAAAUUCACACAUAGCUAUUGUUUUCUCUAUAUAUUGCAGUGUGUACGAUAUUGAGGGUUGAAGCCCAAAGCAUGCCCUAAAAUCCAGAUAAUAAUUAGAUCCGGGCCAAAUAUUCAUCAUUGUGUCGGCUGAUCAGUCGGUGGACAUCUCUAUUGAAAAAAUCUCUGACAUUUCUCUCGACAAACUUAUUACUAAAAAAAAAUCAGUGGUUUUGCCGUCUGAAUAAUGUAGAAAAAUUUGUCUGUGCAUUAAUCUAGAUGUUUGAGGUGAUUUAUACAUCUGUGAUAAAGAUUUAUAGGUUGACUUAUACGUCUGUGGUAUAGAUUUUAUGUAUUUCAUUACAAAAUGCUGGCCGUUAGAACCCUUUCUACAUCUAUUUAUAAGAUUAACGGGUGCCAGUUAUGCCAUUACAAAUUAUCCCCUCAUCAGAUAUUUCGUUAAAAUUCAUUCUGAAACACUAAAACUAAAUAAUCGAACAUGGCUUUGCGGGUCGAUGAUGCCAGAAGCAAUUCGACUGCAAUUAUCACUUGUUUAGUUUCUGUGCUUGCCGUGGUUUACUUGGCAUGGAAUGUGAAAAAAUCAAGGAAAGCAAAUGCUAAACUGCCACCAGGACCUCCCGGCUUGCCUGUAGUCGGAUACCUCCCAUUUCUCGGAACUACUGACUUGCACAAGAAAUUCACGGAAUUAUCCGGAGUUUACGGUCCGAUCUUCAAGCUCUGGCUCGGAAAUAAAUUAUGUGUAGUGGUGAGCUCACCUUCCCUAAUUAGACAAGUGGUUCGUGAUCAAGAUACAACAUUCGCGAACCGUGACCCACCGAAGGCUGCACUAGUGGUCUCCUAUGGUGGCAAUGAUAUUGCAUGGUCCAAUUACGGUCCCGAAUGGAGAAAGUUGCGCAAAUUUUUUGUGGGCAAGAUGAUGAGUAACGCAAGCCUUGAUGCUUGUUAUGCUCUAAGAAAACAAGAGGUUAAAAAUACUAUCAGGGAUUUGUAUAACAACGACAACAAAAUUGGCAAGCCCAUUGACAUUGGUGAAUUGUCGUUUUCAACAUUGGUAUGUGCUAUACAGAACAUGCUGUGGGGUGAAGCGCUUGAAAUAAGAGAGAAAGGGACCACUAAUCUUGGGGCUGGGCUAAAAUUUAAGCUGGCAGAACUCAUGGUGCUUGCGGGAACACCGAAUAUUUCGGAUGUCUUUCCAAUGCUUUCAUGGCUUGACAUACAAGGUAUAGAGAGGAGAGCAAAGAAGAUUUCACUCUGGCUUGAAAAUGUUAUAAAUUCUACUGUUGAACAGCAUAGAAACAAGGAGUCAACUGUUGAAGGUGAAGAAAGAGCGGGGAAAAAUUUUGAAGGAUCAAGGAACAAGAACUUCUUGCAGUUACUAUUGGAGCUUCAAGAAAAUGAUGACAGUGCUUCCUCAAUUAGCAUGAACCAAUUCAAGGCCGUACUCAUGGUAUGUUAAGUAACUAGCAACGAACAGUUAUACAAGCACAGUUGUAUAUUUGCAUGAGUGAUAUUUUCAACCUUUUUUUUUAAUUAGAAUUUUAUUGUCACCUUUUGGACAGGAUAUAAUUACGGCUGGAACCGACACCACAGCUACGAUGGUGGAAUGGACAAUGGCAGAGUUGAUGCAGCAUCCACAAGUAAUGAAGAACGUUCAGGAAGAAUUAGCUCAAGUUGUGGGCAUGGACAGUUGUGUUGAAGAAUUUCACCUGUCUAGAUUAAAGUAUUUAGAUGCUGUGGUGAAGGAAACAUUUCGUCUGCAUCCUGCAGUGCCUUUAUUAGUACCACGCAGAGCAAGCGAGAGUGGCAGCAUUGGUGGCUAUACCAUUCCCAAAGAUACAACUCUUAUGUUGAAUGUUUGGGCUAUCCACAGGGACCCUCACCUUUGGGAUAAUCCCUUAGAAUUUCGACCCGAGAGGUUUCUGAAUGUUGGUGUCGAGAGUAAGUUCGAUUACUCAGGUAACAAUUUUCAGUACUUGCCAUUUGGUUCUGGUAGAAGAAUGUGUGCUGGGAUUCCUCUAGCUGAGAGGAUGCUGAUGUUUGUUUUGGCUUCGUUAUUGCACUCAUUUGAGUGGGAAUUGCCAGCUGGCACAAAGCUAAACUUAUCUGAAAAAUUUGGGAUUGUCAUUAAGAAAAAAGAGCCUUUGGUUGCUAUUCCAACACCAAGACUAUCCAAUUCAGAGCUCUACCAUUAAGACAAAAUGGUUGUGAUGAUUUUGUUAAUUUUCCGAAGAUUUGUAUGUUAUUUAGUUCAAUCGUAAUAAAAUAUUUCAAAUAAGAGUCCUCCGUUGCUUUUUUUUUUUUUUUUUUUUCAACGGCAUAAUCUGUCGUCAUGCUUGUAUUUGGAGCUACUUUGGAAUAAUUAUGUUUGAAUUACAAUUUAUAAAUAUUUACGUUUUAAAUUUUUUAUAAGAGUCUAAAUUUAUACACGUUUAAUAUCCCGCUUCAUAGAUAUUUAACACAAUUUAUAUCAUACAUUGUAUACCCAUUUGUCAUAAAUUAUACUAUUUUGUAUCUCUAAAUAAUAUUACGUAUUGAUAUUAUAAUAUAUAUAUAUAUGUUUAUCAAAAGACUAUACCAUUCAAUAUAUAUUGAAAAGAGAACAAAGAAGAUUUUCUUAUGGUUUAAAAAUAUUAUGAAUUCUGCUGUUGAACAGUAUGGAAACAAGGUCUCUGUUGUUAAAGGUGAAGAAGCAACAGGGAACAAUAUUGAAGGAAGAAAUUUCACAUGUUUAGUUGCUGAAUUUGCCGCUGUAUUCUAUCGGUAGUAGAGUUUUUAUUUUUCUCUAUUAAUUUAAGUCAAUUUUCUAUAACAAAUUCGGUUGAGUUUAAUUGUGUUAUAAUAUAAAUUGAAUGAUAAUAGAAUUUUCAACAAAUAUUUCAAUAUUUCUAUCUCGAUUGUUGAAGUGCCAUUUAUUUGUUAUGCGAUCGAUUUUAAAAUUUAUAAAAUUAUUUGUUACUAAAUUGCAUCAUAUGCUAAAAUCACCUGAAACCUAAUUCCAUAACUAACCCUUUAUUUUUAGUUCUCAAGAAAUCUUGUAAGAACAAAAAUCUUUUAUAACAAAACUUUUACAACACAUUAAUUUGUAACUCAUUCCUGUGCGCGAAUCACUCUCAAUUUCCUUCAAUUGCUGUUUAACAAUCAUCUACUUAUCAAAAUUCAAGCAUAAUCUUUUUUUUUUAAUUUCUUCAUCAUUCUUUAAAAAAAAAAUCAGGAUAUGCUGUUAAAUUUUGAAAUAAAUAAAUUAACCAAAGUUGGUUGAUGUGAGUGGUUCAAUGAUGAGCAUAAUUUAUAUACAUAUUUUACCUUUAAUUAUAUAAUUAUUAGUUAUUUUUAUUAGUUAUUUUUAAUUAAUUGAAUUAUUUUAUUGCAUAGAGAAUUAAUUGGAGAUUGGGAAACAAAAAGUGCAUAAAGAAUAACAAGUUUGGGAAAGCAUCAAUCAAAGCCGUGACGCAAUUAAGAGUUUAUAGCAUAUGAAGCCAAGAGUAAUUUGCACUCAAAAAGAAUUUCAAUUAUUCAAGUGACCUGGACCUGCAUGGCAUUGUAAUGCAUGGAAAGCAACUUAAAGGGGCCCACACUUGGCUUUUACAAUUGGAAAAAGGAAUCCUAGUGCAAGCUUAAUUGAUGAGCACGUGAGUGAGAGCAAAGAAAAUUAAAAGGCCAAGCCUUUUGGCUUAAGGAAAUAACAAGGUCGGUGGGGCCCAUUUUAAAGAGUAAUAUAAAAGCAAGCUUUUGGCUUUUGGAGAGAGGAGCCGCGAGAGGAGGAAAACGCAAGACAAAGAGAAGAAAAUCUGCAGCAGUUCGGCUUCUAUGGUUGGUUUUAUCUCUUUUGUUACUCUUAAUUCAAAUAUGUCUAGUUAAUUUUCUUAUAUUAAAGUUAAGGAUGAAACCCUAUUCAAUGAAAUAAUUAUCUUUUUAUUUAUUUAAUUCCCAUAUAUGUUCUUUAAUGAUUAUGAUUUUUAUUUCACAUGAUUAAUUGGAUGUUAUUAAAAUUUUUUCAUCAAUUCUGUCAUGCAUUAUUGAUUGUUAGGAUUAAUAUUCAAUUAAAUCUAUACUUAGAUUUAUAACGUUUAUACAUGAUUAUCUUUGAUUCUAUGUCUUUCAUUAAAUUGUUUACAUGGAGUGCUUAGGAAAACUUUGACUCUUUGUUAUUCAAUAUGUUCACAUGGGAUACUUAGAUGUCAUACUAUUAAGCGGAAAAAGAACCUAUAUUAGAUUUAAUUAUUUGGGCUUAAUUGUUAUAUCCAUGAGAUGACACAAAUUGAUUUCGAGUUGUCACUCUAAAAUUAGAGAUUAAUGAAUAUUUAGAUAAUUACUAGUUGAAUAGCGGUGGAUUCUGAAACCUUGGUAAUUUCUAUCUUAUUGAAUUCUCCUUUACUUUAAUUGUUUUCUUAGUUUAAUUAAUUUAAUUUCUUUUAAAACUCAAUUUGCUUAACUAGGUUAGAAUUAAUAUUAAUUUUAGAUUUAAAUUAGACUUUUCAAUUUAUAACAAUCCAUGUGGGAUCGACCUCGUUACCACUACUUUAUUUCUAGAUUCGUGCACUUGCGAGUAUAUUAAAAUUUUCACAACAAGUUUUUGGCGCCGUUGCCGGGGAUUGUGCCAGAAAGUCAGUUUAAUCUAGGUUGAUUUGAUUCUUCCACUAGUUAUAAUUUAUGUUGUCUUUUAUUUUAUUAUUAUUUUUAAUUAACAAAAACACACAAAAAAACUUUUAUUUUUCUUUAAAUUCAUUGUUUGGUUGUUUGAUUUCUUUUAUUUUUUAAAUUUUGUUUAUUCUCAUUAUUGUUGGUUUAUUUUAUUUUAUUUUUUUCUUUCCUUGUCUAGUUAGUUUAUGAGUGUUUGGGAAUGUGAUUCAACAAAUCGUUUGGUAAAAGAGAGUCAAAAAUUGAUAGUAGUCAAGUUAGUUCUUCUGAAGUCAUGGAUGACCCAAAUAGAUUAUUGCCAAUACUUCCACCAGUGCAAGCAGAGAAAACCCUUAGAGAAUAUUUUUCACCACUUGCAGCCAACCAACCAUCUUGUAUUGUGUUGCCACAAACUACAGCAACACACUUUGAACUUUUUGAACUUAAGCCCUCAGUCAUCCAACUUUUACCAUCUUUCCAUGGGUUAGAGAGAGAGGAUCCAUAUUUGCACAUUAAGGAAUUUCUUGACAUAUGCUCUACAUUCCGUUUUCAAAAUUUUAAUGAUGAGUUAAUCAGGCUUCGUAUGUUAUCUUUCUCAUUAAAAGACAAAGCAAAAGCUUGGUUGAAUUCGCUUUCUGCUGGGUCUAUAACUACGUGGGAUGAAUUGAAUAAUAAGUUCCUCACCAAGUUUUUCCCUAUGUCUAAAACAAAUGCCCUUAGGAGAGAGAUAAGUGAUUUCUAUUAAAGAGAGGGUGAGCAAUUUUAUGAGUGUUGGGAAAGAUUCAAUGAUUUACUCCUCAAGUGCCCCCACCAUGGUUUUGAGAAAUGGAGACUUAUACAAUGCUUUUAUAACGGUUUAACCAUGUCGAAUCGUCAUAUGGUAGAGUCUAUGAAUGGUGGGAGAUUUUUGAACCUACAUGAAGGGGCUGCAUGGGAUUUCUUUAAUUCACUUUCUGAGAAUUCUCAACAGUGAGAUUUUUCAAGCCAAAGGGAAAAAUCAUCUCAAGUUUCUAGAAAGGGGUUAUAUGAAGUUAAGGAUGAUUUUGAUGUGAAAUCCACUCUAAUUACACUUUCUAGAAAAGUAGAUGCCUUAGCUCUGAACCAAUCAAUGAAUCAUCAUCCUAGUGUAGCUAAUGAGGUUUGUGCUAUUUGUUCUAACUUGUCUCAAACAGCACAAAACUGUCCAUCAUUACCAGUCUAUCCAGAGGCUUAUUCUGAGCAGGUACAUGCCUUACAAUCAUAUGAGAAAACCUCCAAUAAUACAUAUUCACUCACAUAUAAUCCUAAUUGGAGGAAUCACCCUAAUUUUUCUUGGAAACAAAAUCAAUCUUUGUCAAACCAAGGAGGACAACAAUUUAACAUGCCCAAUCAACAAUUUGUCCCUCCUAACCAAGUAUAUCCUCCUGCCCAACAACCUAUAUCUCAAUUUGUUACACCCCAACAAAGAAAACCUUCUUUAGAGGAUACACUUCAAAGUUUCAUUCAGUCAACCUAAUAAGCUUUUCAGUCAAACACUCAAGCUAUUCUAAAGCUUGAACAUCAAUUGGGUCAAUUAGCAACUACUGUAGCGGAGAAAGAAAAAAGAAAAUUCCCCAGUCAAUCAAUUCCUAAUCCUAAAGGAGUGCAUGAAGUUGGAUCGAGUUCAAGCCAUCAGCAUGAAGAAGCAAAAUCAAUUAUGACCUUGAGAAGAGGAAAAUUGUUUGACAACAAAGUGGAGGUUCAAACAAAGAAGACAUCUGAGCCUACUUCUUCAGAUCCAAUUACAUCACAAGAAUCAUCACCAAAUGAUCUUGAAGAGAGUGACCCGCUAGCUUACAUUCCCAAGGCUCAUUUUCCUCAAAGGUUAACAAAGGUAAAGAAAGGGACUUCAACAUGUGAGAUUAUAGAAAUCUUCAAGCAGGUAAGUAUAAACAUCCAUUUACUCGAUGCUAUUAAGCAAGUUCCUUCCUAUGCCAAGUUUUUGAAAGAUUUAUGCACUAAAAAGAGAAAUUUGCAUGUCACUAAAAAGGCGUUUUUAACUGAACAAACUAGCAAUUUACUUCAAUGUAAAAUGCCACCAAAAUUUAAGGAUCCUGGUUCUCCUACUAUUUCAUGUGUUAUAGGGAACCAAUGUUUUGAUAAAGCAUUAUUGGAUUUAGGUGCUAGUGUUAAUCUCUUACCUUAUUCCAUUUACAUGCAGCUUGGACUAGGUGAGUUAAAAUCAACUCCUAUUAUUUUGCAACUUGCUGAUAGGUCAAUGAAAAUACCUCGUGGUAUUAUAGAGGAUGUGUUGAUACAGAUUGACAAAUUUUAUUAUCCUGUUGAUUUUAUUGUUAUUGAUACUCAACAUGUACAUGAUCUUAAGAAACACACUCCACUUAUUCUUGGUCGUCCUUUCUUAGCUACAGCUGAUGCUCAUAUUAGUUGCAGGACUUGAAACAUGCAAUUGUCUUUUGGUAACAUGACCAUGGAAUUAAAUAUUUUUAAUGUUCCCAAGCAGGCACAAGAAGAUGAUGAAGUCGUUGAAGUAGAUAUGAUAGAAGCAUCAAUUGAUGACUCACUUAUUUCUAACCAUUGUGACAAUCCAUUAAUACCUUGCACAACUGACUCUGAUUUCUCUAUUGAUGUUGAUAGUGAUAUUGAAGAAGUUAAUGCUUUACUUGAUUCGACUCUUAUCAUAGAUCUAAUUAAGUGGAAAGAAAAGAUAAGAUUGAGCCACUUCCUCCUGAAGAGAAAAGUGCAACAUAGGUCACAUUCUGACAUAAAAAAGGUGGUAAGAUCUAAAACGCUUAAAUUAUUAGAUUUUUAUACUACUUUAGAUAACUCUCAGGAAAGCUUAGAACAGAAGAGAUCAAAGCAAUGCGAUAUUGAGGAGUUUCAUUACCAUCAUCCUUUUAUGGAUAAAAUGCUCCAGUGCUUAAUCAAUUAUGCUUUUUGGUAUUUUCUAUAUAAUUGCUUUAAUUUUCACCAAAUUCUUAUUGAUCCUGGUUGAUUUGUUGUUUACAUUAAUUAGUUAGUUAGUCGGAUUUUUUUAUUAUUAUUUAUAUUUCUUCUAACGUUUUCUUUUGAGUUGUCAUUCUUUUAAGUUUUCCUAGCUCAGUCAGGUGUGUUCUCUCCAACUUUCUCUUUUAUUAUUUAUGUUUUUAUUUUUCAUCUUUUUGCGUGCAUAUCUUUUAUUUAUGACACAUUGAGGACAAUGUUCCGAAUAAGUUUGGGGGUGGGAAUAAUGUUGCUUUGUUUGUUAAAAAAAACUAAAAAAAAAUUUCAAAAAUUCAAAAAAAAAUUGUGUUUUUUUUGUUUUUACGUGAAAAGCCAAUGAUAAAAACUUGAUUGACAAUGAAUAUGGUUUUUAGAAAGGGUUUAAUAUUGUCUUAAUUUAUACUUGAUUCUUAUGUUAGUUCCUCUUGAUUGAGAUUCUUUAAAAUAUAAGCACUAAUAUCAAUUCUUUCAUAAUUUUGACUUGAAAUUUGAGAUUGACGCAGCCUGAGUUGAGAAUUUUAGAUAGAGUAAAUGACUGUUUGUCUUUAUUCUUAUCUCCACAAUACAAAAUAGUAUACACAGGCACCAAAGUCAGAAAUAACUACCUAUAAUCCUUAAGAGUGAAGCUAUCCUUGAGUAAUUUAGGCCUAUGUACCACAAGUAUGUAGAGGAUAAUCUACCAUGAGAAGAAUGCUACCUUAAGGGGUAGAGUGAAAGCUCCUGACUAUGGUUAAAAAAAAAAGAAGAAGAAAAAGAGAAAGAAAAAAUCAAAUCAAGUGCAUGUGCUGAAAAAAAAAUCAAAAGAAAAUGCACAUAAAAGCCUGUGAAAAAAAAAUUGGAGAUUAAGAUGAUAAGAUUAGCUUGACCUACUCUUUUCUUUUUUUGAGGCGAAGGUUGUUGAUAUUGAAGAUUUUAGGAAUGAAUUUGAUUGAAUUGAUUUCACACACACACAACAAGAAUCGAAAGAGAGAUGGGAUUGAUUAUUGAAUUAAAGUUAGAACUUUGCCAAUAUUUGAAAUUUUGUUUGAGCUAUAUAAUUUAUGCAAUCUUUGAGGGUAUUUUCAUAUUUUAUUUAAAGUUUUUUUUUCUUUUUAUUUUAUUUUAUUUAUUUUUUAUUUUUUUAAAAUGAUGUUUGUGGGUGUCAUCACUGAAGCUCUCACGAGACUAUAACUCGUCCACUAGGGGUUUAAAGGCUUGUUGCAUACGCUAAAUGCAAUCGCGAUUACCUGCGAAAAUGGUUUAGUUAGGAUUUACUUUUUGUUUUGUUAUUUUUUUUUUUUUUUUUAGUUUUAGCUUUGCUCGAGGACUAGCAAAAUCUAAGUUUGGGGGUAUUUGAUGAGCAUAAUUUAUAUACAUAUUUUACCUUUAAUUAUAUAAUUAUUAGUUAUCUUUAUUAGUUAUUUUUAAUUAAUUGAAUUAUUUUAUUGCAUAGGGAAUUAAUUGGAGAUUGGGAAACAAAAAGUGCAUAAAGAAUAACAAGUUUGGGAAAGCAUCAAUCAAAGCCAUGACACAAUUAAGAGUUUAUAGCAUAUGAAGGCAAGAGUAAUUUGCACUAAAAAAGAAUUUCAAUUAUUCAAGUGAUCUGGACGUGCAUAGUAUUGUAAUGCAUGGAAAGCAACUUAAAGGGGCCCACACUUGGCUUUUACAAUUGGAAAAAGGAAUCCUAGUGCAAGCUUAAUUGGUGAGCACGUGAGUGAGAGCAAAGAAAAUUAAAAGGCCAAGCCUUUUGGCUUAAGGAAAUAACAAGGUCGGUGGGGCCCAUUUUAAAGAGUAAUAUAAAAGCAAGCUUUUGGCUUUUGGAGAGAGAAGCCGCCAGAGGAGGAAAACGCGAGACAAAGAGAAGAAAAUAUGCCGCAGUUCGACUUCUAUGGUUGGUUUUAUCUCUUUUGUUACUCUUAAUUCAAGUAUGUCUAGCUAAUUUUCUUAUAUUGAAGUUAAGGAUGAAAUCAUAUUCAAUGAAAUAAUUAUCUUUUUAUUUAUUUAAUUCCCAUAUAUGUUCUUUAAUGAUUAUGAUUUUUAUUUCACAUGAUUAAUUGGAUGUUAUUAAAAUCUUUUCAUCAAUUCUGUCAUAUAUUAUUGAUUGUUAUGAUUAAUAUUAAAUUAAAUCUAUACUUGGAUUUAUAAAGUUUAUACAUGAUUAUCUUUGAUUCUAUGUCUUUCAUUAAAUUGUUUACAUGGAGUGCCUAGGAAAACUUUGACUCUUUGUUAUUCAAUAUGUUCACAUGGGAUACUUAGAUGUCGUACUAUUAAGCGGAAAAAGAACCUAUAUUAGAUUUAAUUAUUUGGGCUUAAUUGUUAUAUCCAUGAGAUGACAUAGAUUGAUUUCGAGUUGUCACUCUAAAAUUGGGGAUUAAUGAAUAUUUAGAUAAUUACUAGUUGAAUAGUGGUGGAUUCUGAAACCUUGGUAAUUUCUAUCUUAUUGAAUUCUCCUUUACUUUAAUUGUUUUCUUAGUUUAAUUAGUUUAAUUUCUCUUAAAACUCAAUUCGCUCAACUAGGUUAGAAUUAAUAUUAAUUUUAGAUUUAAAUUAGACUUUUCAAUUUAUAACAAUCCCUGUGGGAUCGACCUCGUUACCACUACUCUAUUUCUAGAUUCGUGCGCUUGCGAGUAUAUUAAAAUUUUCACAACAUUCGGCACUCUCACUCCUUAAGAGAGGUCAGGGGUUCAAGCCUCGCUCUCGUAUGGAGUCACCACUUUGACCAGCACUUUACCCCUUACAGACCGACCCGGUGCGAGCAUGAAUUAGUCUGGGUUGUGGUACGGGCUUAAAGGUGCCUCCCACAAUUGAGACCCACUCAGGACCACCUCGUGGUUCGGACAAAAAAAAAAUUGAAAUAAAUUAUCUCAAAAUAAUUACUAACCAGAAAAAACAAAGGGGUUUAACUAGGUUAUGCAUACCUUUGAAAAUUAUAUGUUGAUCGAUAAGCAUGAUGAUCACGAUUGAGGAGUUUAAUUAAAAUUUAUAAGAUUUUAAAAUUAAUCAGGGUUAAAUUCUAAAUUUUAGAAAGAGAGGUUUUGUGAGAAUGCUGAAAGGGUGUUAAUAGUUCCACUCUUUUUUAAAAAAACCAUAGUCAUCAUUUUUCCCGAUUUCUUCUUCCCAUCUCCAUCUUAUUUAGAAAUUUCCCAGAGCCUUUGUUUCCCACCAUUCAUUUUUCUUCUUUCUAAUUUAAGAUUAUAGUAUUAUAAAAAUAAUUACUCACAUUUUAUCAAACACCUCCAUUAUACCAAGGCCUUGUUUUAGUAGUAGGCUUUUAUUAUCUCAAUAAAAUUGAAAAAACAAAGCUCAAUAAUAUUGGAAAAAAAACCUACCCAUAUUUGUAACUUUAAUUUAUUAUUCUCCAUAGACCUACUUUUUAGCUUUGAAUUUUGUUGGAGCCAUAUAUAAACAGAAUAUGUUGAAAUCAGCACAAAAAAAAAACUAAUUAUAUAAUUUUUGUUCCCAAGGACACGACUGUGUGAUUUUUAAGAAGUUUUGUUUGGCUGGCCACUUAGGUUUAAAUCUUGGUGGAGAUUAGGGGUUAAGAAAUAAAUUUGGACUUUGCACACCCCUUUAACUUUUAAAAAGAAUGAAAAAAACUAAUUAAUUAAUCUUUAUUUUAUUUAUUAAAUGUCAUAAUCAUAUGCAUAUUUUAUUUGUUAUCUUUCUAUUUAAAAGAUAGGAGGGCAAAUAAAACUGAAAUAAAUGUUUAUCCCUAUCUCCAUCUUUCAAGUUCCAUAGUUAGGUGACCAGCUAAAGAAAAUUAAUUGAAAGUUACUCCAUCAAAUUAAAAAAAAUUAUUUAUUUAAUUUGUGGAGAUGUAGAAAAUCAAACCCCAUACCUUUUCGCAUGCAAAAGUGUCAACCUGGUCUAGCUAUGUUGCAACAGUAAACAUAUUUUAAUACAUGACUAUCAUCUUUUAUCCUAAAUACUACUAUAACUAUGGGUUCAGUUAUGCUGUAACUGUGGUAUGGUACCACAGUUGUUUUCAACCAUUAAAUUCAACUUAUAUAACUAUGCAACUGUAGAUCUAACGGCUGAAAGCAACUAUGGUACCAUACCACAGUUGCAACAUAGUUUUGCCCCUAUAACUCAUAACAUUCAAUUGAAAUAAUAAAUGUUAACACUUGGCUAUAAAUAAAGGUUUUGUACUUGAAUCUUCAUGCAUGACCUUCAUUCCUUUAUUGACUUUGCUAACACAGAUUUUGAGGCAUUAAAACUAAAUAAUAAUUGACUUUGUGGGCCGAGGAUGCCAGCAACAAGGAGACCACAAUUAUCACUAGUUAAGUUACUCUAAUUGCCGUUGUCUUAUAUUCAUAAAAUAUUAGUAAUAAGAUUAUUGUAGAAUUUUUUUAUAUUAAAAUUAAGUCAAUUUGUUAUAACAAAUUUAGUUGAGUUUAAUCGUGUUACUACAUACAUUGAAUAAUAAUAGAAUUCUCGACAAAUAUUUCAAUAUUUUUAUCCCAAGCGUUGGAGUGGCAUUUAUUUGUUAGACAAUCGAUUUUAGAACUUAUAAAAUUAUUCGUUACUGAAUUGCACCAUAUGCUGCAUGACCUGAAACUUAAUAAACGGAACGUAGCGUUGGCAACAUUCACUGUCAUGACUUUGUGACAUUAGAAUUAAAUUUUUUUGCACAUUUAAUUUGUUUACUUCCAAAUUAAUAUUUAACAAAAUAUUUUUUCACAUUAUCAAUGGACAAAACUCCAACGAAAAUAACUAUACAAUAUAUGCUAGUAUUGUAUGCCAUAUCAUCUGUAAUUUUGUCAGGAUCGAUCAUUUUAAUUUUUAAGCAAAACUUUUUAUCAAUGGACAAACACCUCACACAGCUUGUCAGAGGCAUUAUUAUGAUGGAAAACUGAUAAACAGUGAACUCGAAACUCAAUUACUACAAGUCGUUUAGAGGAUUCAGUCUUGGAUGACUUGUCACUUGUGGAAUUCUUGAAGCCAGAACCGACAUAAUCUCAGUCGUCAUUCUGUCUUAAGUAAUACACAUGGUUUGCAUGUGUGUUGAAGCUGACUCUUUGCUUGGAUCAAGAAACGACGUCUUUGAGUGCCGUUUCUUAAACACACUUUAAAUCAGCUUGUGUCAAGCACGUGAGGUAGAGCUUUUUGAAUAGAUUUGGCGGGAAUGGUAGUUAGUGUAACAACCCAGAAAUAGAGGUUAAAAGGUGAAGGCUUUGUCAUCAUCUACACAUGAUUUGGGAAACAUUGAGAGUAGAGAAAAAGAUAGAGAGAGAAAGGGGUUAACAAGUUCUUGUUCUCUGUAAAUCGAUUUAUAUUCUUGUAAAGUUUGUGAUCUCAAUUAGUGAAAGACUGUUGCUUUGUUUCCAGUGGAUGUAGGCACCACUUCUUGGUGCUGAACCACUUAUACUUGGUGUCAUAUUGUUUCUUUAAUGCUUUGAUUCUUGCGUGUGAUUGUUGCUGGAUAAUCUGUGCUGUUAAUUCUCAAACCAUUGAUACAGAAUUAAUGUCUUGGGGAGAAUUUGGUUAGUCUUAUCAAAGCCGAAUUCACAACAAAUUGGUAUCAGAGCCCUCUUUUCUGUAUCAAGGUUCAAGAAAUGACUAACAAGGUGGAUCUUGAGAAGUUCAAUGGUCAGAAUGAUUUCAAUAUGUGGAGGAUCAAGAUGGAAGCAUUGUUAAUCACACAAGGUCUGGGAGAUGCCAUUGAUCCAGUCAUUAAGAGUGAAAAUGCAGAAGCCUAUUCUUCAAGAACUCCAGAACAGAUGGCUAAGAUUGAAAAAAAGGCAAGAAGCACCAUCAUCCUCAGUCUUGGUGACUUAGUGAUAAGGGAAGUUGCCAAGAAAAAGACUGUUGCUAGGCUCUGGGCAAAACUGGAACAAUUGUAUAUGACAAAGUCCUUAGCAAACAGGCUAUACAUCAAGAAAAAGAUGUUCUCACUGAGGAUGAUUGAAGGAGCAUCACUUGAUGAACACAUAGAUGAGUUUAAUAAAGUUUGUGAUGAACUGGAAACAAUUGAUGAAGGACUGAGUGAUGAGAGCAAGGCUUUGCUGUUAAUCAGUUCUUCACCAAAAUCAUAUGAACAUUUUGUGGAUGCCUUGUUAUAUGGAAGGCAAUCACUCUCCUUGGAAGAGGUUAAAUCUACUCUUGGUACCAAGAAGUUAAAAGAAAAACAAGAUAACUCAGAGAGUGAAUCAAGUGAAGGGCUGAUGGCAAGGGGCAGAUCUGAAAAAAAGGAGUACAAAGGAAAAAAACAAGGGAGAUCAAAGUCAAAGCAGAAACAUUUGAAGUGUUUUCACUGCCACAAAGAAGGGCAUUUCAAGAGGGAUUGCCCUGAGAGAAAAACAAAGCAAAAGGAAUCAAAAGACAAAUCUGGAAAUACAGCAAUAGCCACAGAAGAAACCAGUUUUGAGAUAGCUGAAGUCCUCAUUGCCACAAAAGAAAAAAACUCAAGGUCAGUGGGUACUAGACUCUGGAUGUACUUUUCAUAUGAGUCCAAAUAGAAAUUACUUUACUACAUAUCAGUCCUGUGAUGGGGGUAUGGUGCUGAUGGGAAAUAAUUCAGUUUGUAAAGCAGUUGGGAUUGGGACUGUAAGCCUUAAGAUGUAUGAUGGCAUGGUUAGAGAACUAACUCAGUUUAGGCAUGUUCCUGAGCUUAAAAGGAACCUAAUAUCUAUUGGCAUGCUUGAUCAAACUGGAUGUGUCAAUAAGGCUGAAAAUGGGUCAUUGAAAGUUAUCAGAGGCUCAAUAGUCAUAAUGAAAAGUUCCAAGCAAAAUGGUUUGUAUGUGUUGAAUGGACAUACAACUGUUGGAGAGGCAAGUGUCACUGAGAAGAGUGAAGACAAAGCAAGACUAUGGCACUUGAGGUUGGGGCAUAUGAGUGAAAGGGGAUUGAAGGAGCUUCAAAAGAAUGGGGUGUUUGGAAGUGACAAGCUAAGUUCUUUGGGGUUCUGUGAAGACUGUAUCCUAGGGAAGGCUUCCAAUCUCAAGUUUGAAUCUGCAGUUCAUUCUACCAAAGAGAAGCUUGCAUAUAUACACUCUGAUAUGUGGGGGCCUGCACAGGUAAAUUCUCUUGGUGGCUUUAAGUAUUUCUUAUCCUUAAUAGAUGACUAUUCAAGGAUGGUUUGGGUGUAUGUACUCAAAACCAAAGAUGAAGCUUUGGAAAAGUUUUAGAGGUGGAAAAUUCUGGUAGAAACACAGACAAGUUUGAAAGUAAAAGCUCUAAGAACAGAUAAUGAAUUGGAAUUCUGCAACAAAGAGUUUGGAGACUUUUGUAAAAGACAUGAGAUUAUGAGGCACAAAACAGUCAUACACACACCUCAGCAAAAUGGUUUUGCUGAGAGAAUGAACAGAACCUUAAUGGACAAGGUGAGGUGUAUACUGCUAUACUCAAAGCUGCCUAAGUCACUCUGGGCAGAGGCCUUAAACACAGCAUGUUACUUGGUAAAUAUAAGUCCAUCUACAGCAAUAGAAUGCAAAACACCUAUCGAGCUAUGGUCUGGAAGGGUUGCAGAUUACUUUAAACUGAGAAUCUUUGGAUGUGUUGCUUAUGCAUAUGUCAAACAAGGCAAAUUGGAGCCAAGAGCUUUAAGGUGUAGAUUUCUAGGAUACCCUGAUGGAGUUAAAGGCUAUAGGCUAUGGUGCAUUGAUUUGAAGCCACCAAAAUGCAUUAUCAGCAGGGAUGUAACUUUCAAUGAGUCAGAAAUCUUGAACAAAUCCAAAACCACUUAAUCCAAAGAUCAUAUAUCAGAAACAAGACCUGGGAGUGUUCAGUUUGAGGUGGAGUCCUAUGAACAAGAUAGGACUGAAUCAGAAACUGAAGGAGAUUCAGGAAGGGUUACUGAUGGAUUUGAUGUUGUUCAGGAGUCAGAGCCAGCUGAGAAUGAAGAUAAUUCUUAUCAGUUGGUCAGGGAUAGAAAGAAGAGAGCUGUAAGACCACCUAAGAGGUAUACAAUAGCAGAUUUCAUAGCUUAUACAUUAACAGUUGCACAAGAGGUAAAUGAGGAAGAGCUAAGAACCUAUAAAGAAGCUAUAAACAGCAUGGAUAAGAUGAAAUGGAAGGAGGCUAUGGAUGAGGAAAUUGAAUCACUAAUGAAAAAUGGAACUUGGAAGCUGAUAGUUAGACUAGAAAAAAGGAAGACUGUUAGCUGCAAAUGGAUCUUCAAAGUUAAGGAAGGUAUAUCUGAUGCUGAACCUAGUAGGUUUAAAGCUAGGCUGGUAGCAAGAGGCUUCACACAAAGAGAGGGGAUUGAUUUCCAUGAAAUCUUCUCUCUAGUUGUGAAACAUGCCUCCAUCAGAGUCAUCUUAGCUUUAGUUGCCAUUCAAGACAUGUACCUGGAGCAUAUGGAUGUUAAAACAGCCUUCCUGCAUGGUGAAUUACAAGAAGAAAUUGUAAUGGAACAGCCUGGGGGGUAUGUGGUGUCUAGUAAGGAAAAUCAUGUGUGCUUACUAAAGAAAUAUUUAUAUGGAUUAAAGCAGUCUCCUAGGCAAUGGUACUUGAAGUUUGAUAGUUUUAUGACAAAACAUGCCUACAAGAAAUGCAAUUAUGAUUGUUGCGUGUACUUUAGGGACAUUGGUGAUGGAAAGAUGAUUUAUCUUAUGCUGUAUAUGGAUGACAUGCUUAUAGCAUGUCACAGCAUAGAUGAAAUCAGUCAUUUAAAGAAUCUCUUGAGCAGUGAAUUCGAUAUGAAAGAUCUUGGAGCUGUAAGGAAGAUCUUAGGUAUGGAAAUUAUCAGAGACAGGAGAAGGAAGCUUAUGUUUUUAACCCAACAGAGCUAUGUUAAGAAGGUGUUGCUUAGAUUUGGGAUGCAUGAAUCCAAGUCUGUUCAAACACCUUUGGCAAAUCACUUCAAGCUGUCUGCUGCACAUUGUCCACAAACUGAUGCAGAGCAAGGAAAAAUGGCAAGGAUACCUUACUCCAGUGCAGUUGGGAGCCUCAUGUAUGCCAUGGUUCUCACUAGACAUGAUAUCUCACAUGCUGUGAGUAUAGUGAGUAGAUUCAUGGCAAAUCCAGGUUAUGAGCAUUGGAGGGCAGUCCAGUGGAUAAUGAGGUACCUGAAAGGCACUAUGGAGUUUGGUCUGCUAUAUGGAGGGUUAAAACAGGAAGGGCACAAGCUGGUGGGGUAUGUUGACUCAGACUUCGCUGGAGAUCUUGAUAAAAGGAGGUCUCAGACAUGUUUUAUAUUCACUUUGGGAGGCUGCACUGUGAACUGGAAAGCUACUCUGCAAAGUGUGGUAGCUUUGUCCACAACUGAAGCCGAAUAUACAGCAGCUGCAGAAGCUUUUAAGGAAGUCAUCUGGUUAAAAGGAAUGGUCUCAGAGUUAGGAGCAAAACAAGAAACAGUUGAAGUAUACUGUGAUAGCCAGAGUGCAAUACAUUUGAGUAAAAACCAGACCCAUCAUGAAGGAACAAAACAUAUUGAUGUAAAGCUUCAUUUUGUAAGACUUGAAGUUUCAAAGGGAACUGUGAAGAUGCUCGAGGUUCACACUGAUCAAAAUCCAACCGAUAUGUUGACUAAAGCUGUGCCUUCUGCCAAGCUCAACUUCUGUUUGAGCUUAGCAGGAAUUUGCAGUUUCUGAUCAGCUGCAAAAGAAAGGGAAUAAAGUAUACAGGAGUAGCUAGAGUUCAGAGUUCACACUGAUUAAAAGGUGCAGGCUUUGUCAUCGUCUACACAUGAUUUGGGAAACACAGAGAGUAGAGAAAAAGAUAGAGAGAGAAAGGGGUUAACAAGUUCUUGUUCUCUGUAAAUCGAUUUCUAUUCUUGUAAAGUUUGUGAUCUCAAUUAGUGAAAGAUUGUUGCUUUGUUUCCAGUGGAUGUAGGCACCACUUCUUGGUGCUGAACCACUUAUGCUUGGUGUCAUAUUGUUUCUUUAAUGCUUUGAUUCUUGCGUGUGAUUGUUGCUGGAUAAUCUGUGCUGUUAAUUCUCAAACCAUUGAUACAGAAUUAAUGUCUUGGGGAGAAUUUGGUUAGUCUUAUCAAAGCCGAAUUCACAACAAAAACUGUAAUGGUAUAUCUUGAAUUAUUGGUAGAAUAGUUCUUUGGAGCAAUAAAAACAGAUAAGACAGAUGAGAAAAUUGUCAAUACCCCACCGCAAAAGCAAAAGAAAACAAGGAAAGGAGACAAAAGAGGAAGAAGAAAAAGAAAAAAGAACGAAGAAAAAAAUGGUGCCGUGCGGUAUAGGCAAGAAGAAAAAAUAAUAAAAAAUAAUAAAAUAAUAGUGCACAACAAUCAUUUGAUUGCUAUAAAUAAAAGGCGUUUCCCUCAUUUUAUUCAUCGAAUUCUUCAGUUCCUUUCAAGCGAUUUAAGAGUCUAGUGAUUUGAGAGUUUGGGUGUAGUAUGAUUUUGGGUAGUGAGCUAAAAUACUACAAUACUUGUAACUCAUUUUUAUUAGUAAAAUAUUUUCCUUCUGACUUCGCCCGUGGACGUAUGCUAAAAGCCGAAUCACGUAAUUUCUGGUGUCCCUAUGUGAUUAUGUGUCUCAUUAUUUCUUAAUUUCACUUUAGUUGCGUGUCUGCGACACCCCUCAAUUUAUUAACAAAAAAUGGCCAAAAUUAUAUAAGUGACCCAAAUUUUUUUGUUAUUUCCAAGAAAUCCCCAAUCUGAAUGGGCUAGACCAGAGGGAGGCAAGUUAGAAAUACAUUUCCUUCAUAGACAAUAACAGUGAUGAGUCGAUGACAUCAAGCCACGUCGGUAUCAAUAUUGAAUUAAAGGUGCAAUUAUUCAGCCAAUGAACCUUACACAUCAAGAUAAAAGUCAAGAAAAUGAAAAUUUAUCCCAAUUAAAACACUUUCUGGCUGCAUUUAGUUGUUUCCAUUAGAAGUUAAAAACAACGUUUCUUUCGUUUUGUGGGCAACUCAACUGAGUUAGCUGGCUUCUAGUGCUAGUAUGUGAAAAUAGAAGGCUAAUGAUUUAUUUAUUAUCUUUUGACAAAAUUAUUAAAGAUAUAAUAGAUUUUCUAUGAUACAAGUGAAAAAUCACAUCAACAUAGCUUUCAAUCUACAGCAGCUAGCGUUUACCAAACACUUUGUUGUAGCUUUUAAGCUAUAGCUGCCCAACCUCAAUCUCAAACGCACCCUUAAUAGGUUGAUUGAAUUUGUGAGAUAUGGAUUCCACAUAUCUCAUGACCUAGUAAUUAUACAAGUGGUUCGUGAUCAAGACACAACAUUUGCUUCCGGCCUAGUGACCCAGCAAUCGCUGCACUGGUCGCCACCUAUGGUGCCGACGAUAUUGCAUGGUCCAAUUGUGGCCUUGAAUGGAAAAAGUUGAGCAAAUUAUUUGUGGACACGAUGAUAAGUAACGCAAGCCUUGAUGCUAGUUAUGGUCAAAGAAAACAAGAGGUUAAGAAUACUAUCAGAGAUAUUCAUAACAACAAAAAGGAAAAAAAAAAGGCAUUUGCAAGCCCAUUGAUAUUGGUGAAUUGUCGAUUUCAACUUUGGCAUGUGUAAUCCAGAACCUGCGCGCUGUGGUAUGGCGCUGGCACGCUUGCAUUAACGAGGGGACAAGUCUUGGGGCUGAGCUAACAUUUAAGCUCGCAGAACUCAUGGUGCUAAUGGGAACACCAAAUAUUUUUUUGACAUAUUUUGGUGCUUUCAUGGUUUAAUUCAAGGUAUAGAAAGGAGUGUUGAGAAUGUCAAAUAAAACGGCAUUGAAUGGAAGUUGUCAAAGACACGAUCCGCACCGAACGGCAACGACACGGUUGCUAAAAAUCCUUCCAUAAUAUGCAUAUCUAAUUUUUUAAAAAGUGUAACCUCUGCAUUUAUAAAUAUACUCAAUGUAUAAUGUUUUACUUAAGAAAUGAAAAACUUGUUUGUUCAAGGAGAAUAAAGAAAAUUUUUCUAUGAUUUUUUUAUGGUUUGAACAAAGAAGGUUUUAAUGAGUAUUAUAGACCUCGAUUGAAUGUUCGAAUGUAUAAUAAAAGAGAAACUGUCACAUAAAUGACAAAGAUACUUGGAAAAAAAAAAAGGGCAGCAAUAGAGAAUUAGAUUCGACUGCACAAAUAACUAGUUAAUUCAUCAAUACAUCAUUUUCUUGCUAGAAAAUGACAAUUAUGACAGCAAGCCACGAUAGUGUCAAUAUUGAAAUUGAUUUGCAAUUAUUCAGCCAAUGUGCCUUACACGUCAAGAUAAAAGUCAAGAAAAUGAAAGUUAAUAUCAAUUAAAACACUUCCUGGGCCGCAUUUAGCUCCAGUUUUUGUGGUAGGAAAACAAAGUUUUGUUUUAAAUUCACAUGGUGUGCACUUCCUAUAUAAAUCUAGAGUUGUGUCCCACGUUGAACAAUAAAGGAAAGUCACCUAAAUAUACAUGUAGGAUAAGUUACUUUAUUUAGUAAGUUUGUAUUUUCUUCUUUCUUCUAGUUUACAUAUAAAUUUGAUUAGAUAACUUAACACAUAUUUUAAUACUUGAUCAGAAGCCCUACGUACAGGUGGAUCUAGAAACUUGAUUUCUAAGAGUAAUACUAUAAUAAAAAAAUAAUGAUUCAUAGAACCAAUAUCAAAAUUUGUUUACAAGAUUACCCCCACUCAAAGGUAAUUUUCAUAGAAAUUAAUAGGAAAUUUAAUUGUUAGUGGGGUCAAAUUGCCCCCACACUCUGAAUGUAGAUCCACGCCCGACCCUGAGUCAAGUAUAUUUUGCCACAUAUACUCUGAAUGUCGGCAGGAAAAAUCUUCCACUUUAGUUUAAAAUUUUCACUUAAAAUUUAUUUACGUUAAUAAAGUUGGUAAAGGAAAUGAGUUUAAUUAAAGAAUAUUAUAGGAGAAAUUCUAUUGUUUGGCUUUUAAUAAAUUAAUUAAUAGGUUUAAAAAGAUUAAUAUACAUCAAAAUAUUAUUAGUUGGUGGUGGUUCCACAUCGGACUAAGACGUGGCACCUUACUUGUGAGAUUAAGACAAUCAGGCUUAGACUAUUUAAAUAUGUUUGAAGCUUAGAUGGCACCGCUUCAAUUUGCAUUAAUGAAUGUCAUUCUUUACCCUAAUUACUACGUAAUUGAUAACAUGCAAUUGAAAUAACUAAUAUUAGCACUUGGCUAUAAAUGAACUAAAGGCCGUGCAAUUGAAUCUUUACUUGAUCACUUCAUUCCUUUAUUUUGCUAACACAGAUUUUGAGAUAUUAAAACGAAAUAAUAAUUGAAUCUGGCUUUGUGGGUCGAUGAUGCCAGCAACAACGAGACCACAAUUAUCACUUGUUUAUUUGCUGUAUUUGACGUUGUUUCAUAUUGGUAGUAAUAACUAAUAAGGUCGUUGUAGAGUUUUUAAUCUUUUUUUUUAUAUUAAUCACGAGGUAUCCUGGGGAGGGCCCCAACUGUGGGAGGCACCUUUAAGCUCGUACCACAACCCAGACUAGAAGUCCCCGCUCGAACCGGGAGGCACAGUUUUUAAUCUUUUUUAUAUUAAAGUUAAGUCAAUUUGUUAUAAAUAAAUAAAAAAUUGGUUGAGUUUAAUUAUAUUGCUAUGUACAUUAAAUAAUUAUAAUAUUCUCGAGGGAAAAAGACACCUAGAACCUCAAGGUUUGGGGAAAUGGUCACAAAAACUCCUAAGUUUUAAAAAAGGAACACUAAAAUCUUUUUUUACCCAUAAUACCCUUUGACUAUAGUAAUUAGAAAAUUGACUUUAAAGGUUUUUAAAUAAUACAAAUUUAAUAUAAAUCAUAUAAUCUAUCUAGUACACUAAUAAUAUUAAAUUAUUUUUUAUAUUUAAAAUAAUGUUAAAAAAUUUAAAUUAUUAUAUUUAUUUUAAUAAUAUAUUUAUAAAAUUAUAAAGAUUUUAAAUAAAUCUUUGGAUUGAAUAUAUUUUACAAUUAAAAGUCUUCCUAUUAAUAAUAUUAAAAUUAAAUUUUAAGUAAUAUAUAUUCAAAAUAUUUUUAAUUUAAUUUUAUUUAUUUUAAUAUUAUGUUUCUAUCUAUUAUUAAAAAUUACUUUAAUAUAAUAAAAUAGGUCUAAUAGAUUGAAAAAUAUGAAAAUAUUUUUAAAAUUUUAAAUUAUUUUGAAAUGUAUAUAUUAUUACAUUUAUUUCAAUGUCAUAUUUCCAUUUAUUAUAAAAUUUUGGGGUUAUUUUUUUGGGAAUUUAUAGAGUCAAAGAGCAUUAUGGUUAAAAAAGAGUCUUGGUGUCCCUUAUUGAAAACUUUAGAGUUUUUGUGACCAUUUUCCUAAAUCUUGGGGGUGUUGAAGUGGCACUUAUUGUAAGAUUGAUUUUAAAAUAUGUAAAAUUAAUUUUAUUACAUUACCAUAUGCUACAUCACCUGAAACUUAAUAAAUGGAACGUAGCAUUACUCCACGUUCACCGUUAUGACCUUAUGACAUUAGAAUUAAAAUCUUUCGUACGUUUAAAUUGUUUACUUCCAAAUUAAUCUUUCGUAAAUAUUUUGUACAGAUCUUAUCGGAGUUAGCGUGUUCAUUACAGUGUUUCUUUUCUUUUAUCCUUUCUUUUGAAACGUAUUUCCUGUGGACAAGGAAAGCAAAUAAUACCCUGCCACCAGGACCUCGCGGCUUGCCUGUAAUCGGAUACCUUCCAUUUCUCGGAAUUACUGACUUACACAAGACAUUCACGGAAUUAGCUGGUCUAUAUGGCCCGAUCUUCAAACUCUGGCUUGGCAACAAAUUGUGUGUAGUGGUUAGCUCGCCUUCAACUAGUUCUAUAAGAAUAUCCCUUUUAAGGGAUUCUCUCUCUGCAAAAUUUUUUUAUCUUCUGGUGCAUAAUAAAAACUUAUGCCACUUCAUUAACCACAGAUAUCUUUUGAGGAAACGAUGUUUCGUUUUCUUUUGUUUUUUCCUUCCUAAUCCUCGCAUAUCGUGUGAAGGCUAAUAUAUCCAAGAAUCUAAAUCUCUGUAAAUCUUUUUCUAUCCAAAUCUACAUAAUAAUUUAAUCCAUGCACAAUAUCUAUAAUUAUAUCGGCUGUCGGCUGAUUUCGUGGAGGGGGCGGCAGUUCAAAUUUUUUACGUGCAUGUUGGAUGGACGUCUCUAUUAAAGGAGAGCCACCACUUGCAUGGUAAUUUUUUUAAAUAAAUAUAUACAUUUCAAAAUAUUAUUUCAUUGUUGUAUAGUUAACAUGUCACCUUAGAUGUAUUUUAGAACUUCUCCUAUUAAAGAUAAUCUCAUGCAGUGAUACUUCUCGUGAUCUAAUCAUUAGUAGAAUCUAUAAUUUCGCUACUGUAAUAAAAUCUGUCCCUACCCUAUAUGAAUGUAGAUAUUUGACGCGAUUUGUAAUUGCUUCCGACAGGAAAACAGCAAUAGUUUAAUUGAAAUUUGUGGUAUGGAUUCCACGAAUCUUAUGACAGAAUACUGACCACUCCAACCCUAUCCACAUUUACACGAUUAAAACACAAGCUUAGAUGUGACAAUGCAUUUGUCACUUUUGUUCAAAUUCAUCCUGAAACACUAUACACUAAAUAAUCGAAUAUGGCUUCGUGGGUCGAUGAUGCUAGCAGCAACGAGACUGCAAUUAUCACUUGUUUUGUUGCUGUACUUGUCGUGGUCUAUUUCGCAUGGAAUGUAAACAAAUCAAGUAAAGCAAAUGCUAAAUUGCCACCAGGAUCUCGGGGCUUGCCAGUAGUCGGAUACCUCCCAUUUCUUGGAACUACUGACUUACACAAGACAUUCACGGAGUUAGCUGGAGUUUAUGGUCCGAUCUUCAAGAUUUGGCUUGGGAAUAAAUUGUGUGUAGUGGUGAGCUCGCCUACCCUAGUUAAACAAGUGGUCCGUGAUCAAGAUAUAACAUUCUCAAACCGCGACCCACCGAUCGCUGGAACUGUGACCACCUACGGUGGCAAUGAUAUUGCACUUUCCAAUUAUGGUCCCGAAUGGAAAAAGUUGCGAAAAUUAUUUGUGAGCAAGAUGAUGAGUAAUGCAACCCUUGAUGCUUGUUAUGCUCUAAGAAAACAAGAGGUUAAAAAUACUAUCAGGGAUUUGUACAACAACAAUAAGGAUAAUAUUGGCAGUGGCAAUGGCAAGCCCAUUGACGUUGGUGAAUUGUCGAUUUCAACUUUGGUACGUGUUAUGCAGAACAUGCUGUGGGGUCAAGCAUUGGAAACAAGAGAGAAAGAGAUUACUAAUCUCGGGGCUAAUCUUGCAGAACUCAUGGUGCUACUGGGAACACCAAAUAUUUCGGAUAUUUUUCCAGUGCUUUCAUUGCUUGACAUGCAAGGUAUAGAGAGAAGAGCUAAGAAGAUUUCUCUAUGGUUUGAAAACAUUAUCAAUUCUGGUGUUGAACAGUAUAGAAACAAGUUUUCUGUUGUUAAAGGUGAAGAAGCUGCAGCAGGAAAAAAUAUUGAACGAUCAAGAAAUAAGGACUUCUUGCAGUUACUGUUGGAGCUUCAGGAAAAUGAAGAUAGUGCUUCAUCUAUUAGCAUGAACCAACUAAAGGCCGUGCUCGUGGUAUGUUAAGCAACUAGACACAAAAAGUUGUAAAAGCACAGUGAUAUAUUUGCGCGAGGCCGCGAGUGAUGUUUUGCCUCGAGAACUCUCAAUUUUAUCUUACGGUAAAAAAUGUUUUUCAACUUUUUUUAAUUAGAAUUUUAUUGCAAUUUAUUUAACAGGACAUAAUUGUGGCCGGAACCGACACCACAACUACGAUGGUGGAAUGGACAAUGGCAGAGUUGAUGCAACAUCCACAAGUAAUGAAGAAAGUUCAAGAAGAAUUAGCUCAAGUUGUGGGCAUGGACAGUUGUGUUGAAGAAUAUCACUUGCCUAAAUUAAAUUAUUUAGAUGCUGUGGUGAAAGAAACAUUUCGUUUGCAUCCUGCGUUGCCCUUAUUGGUACCUCGCACGGCAAGCGAGAACAGCAAUAUUGGUGGCUAUACCAUUCCCAACGACACUAAUUUUAUGUUGAAUGUUUGGGCUAUUCACAGGGAUCCUCAACUUUGGGAUAAUCCCUUAGAUUUUCGACCUGAGAGGUUCUUGAAUGAUGAUAUCAUAAGCAAAUUCAAUUACUCGGGUAACAAUUUUCAGUACUUGCCAUUUGGUUCUGGUAGAAGGAUGUGCGCUGGCAUUCCUCUAGCUGAGAGGAUGUUGAUGCUUGUUCUGGCUUCGUUGUUGCACUUGUUUGAGUGGAAAUUGCCCCCGGGCACAAAGCUAGACUUAGCUGAAAAGUAUGGGAUUGUCAUGCGGAAAAAAGAGCCUCUGAUUGCUAUUCCAACACCAAGGCUACCAAAUUCAGAUCUCUACCAGUAAGAUCAAAAUGGUUGUGAUGAUAUUAUUUCCCAUUGUAUUGGAAUAUUUUUGUGUGAUUUGAAGUUCAAUCAUAAUAAAAUAUUUUAAUAAAAUGUCCUCGGUUGCUAAUUUUUCAAUAGUAUACUCUAUCAUCGUUUCUAACUGUCUUUUAGAGCCAUUUGGUCUAAUUUAUUUUUGAAUUAAAAUCCAUAAAUAUUUAAAUUUUUGAAUCAUAUUAAGAAUUAUCUGGAGUGUAUGGUCUGAUCUUCAAGUUCUGGCUUGUAAACAAAUUAGAGUUCUGAUAUUUGCCCCGGGUCAAACCCCGAAAUUAAAUAAAACGGCGUCGUUUUGUUUUUUUUUUUUUUUUUUUCUUUUUUACUUCUUCCAAACGUUGCCAUUUCACUUGUCAUUUGCAAGUGACUCCAUUGAUCCUUAGUUGAAACAGAGUUACACCGUAAAUCUCUUCCUCUUCGUUUCUUCGUUUCACCAGGGAACGAGACAGAUAAAAUCCAGCCAUUCUUCGACAUAACAAGAUAUCGAUUAGAAUCCAACGACAUAACUAUAAACCAUGACAUUGCGCUUGAUUUUGCGAAAUACCGAUUAAGAACCAGUAACUUUGAAUCCAAUGACCGUUAAGAGUUUGAAAUUGGUUUCAAAUGACUAAUGAGUUAUCAGAUUUCUUUGCGUCUACAUUUUCCUUGAAGGUUUCUCAGCAGCCAAACAAAUACAAAGCAAAUUGCAGAAGAAACACAUUUUGUUCCAAUGAAAAAUGUACGGAAACAUUUUAAAUAUGGAAAAUUACCUCAAAAUGAAGGCUCGCAAGAGAUUCGAGCAACAAAUUAGAUCAAAGGAACCGGCGCUGAGCAAGAAAGUGAGCUCAAAGAUUCCGAAACACAAACGUAAAUUCACAAAAAUGCAAAUCUAUGAUGAACGCCAAGAUCAAAAUUUUCGAAGAAAGGGAGCUGAAAAAAUAAAUGAAACGUCAAACUAGAUGACAAUGGAUUUGCUUCUUCAAAGGAGACAAUGAAAUUGUUACUAGAGACAGCUAGAGAAAUAGAGAGAGAGAGAGAGAGAGCUUGAAUUGGCUGUACCCCCACCAGAAAGUGGGUAGUGCCUUUUCCACUUGGACUUGAUAUGCGAAUCUGAAAAAAUCUGAACGAAGGACUGACUCAUCCCAGCUCGAAAGCAAACCAAGCUAGGACUGACUGAAAACGUUGCCGUUUGGAGAAGUUAAAAAAAAAAACUAAACAAAACGACGCCGUUUUGUUUAGUUUCGGGGUUUGACCCGGAAUUUGACCCGGGGCAAACAUCAUUUUCCAACAAAUUAUGCAUGGUCGUGUACACGCUUUCCCUAAUUAAGCAUGAGGUUCGUGAUCAAGGCACAACAUUCACUCCCUGCGACCCAACAAUCGCUACAUUGUUUGCCACCUAUAGUGCCAACGAUUUUGCACGGUCCAAUUAUGGUCCCCAAUCGAAAACGUUGCGCAAAUGUUUUCUGGGCAAGAUGAUAAGUAACGCAAGCCUUGAUGCUUGUUAUGGUCUAAGAAAACAAGAGGUUAAUAUAUAUAUAUAUAUAUAUAUAUAUAUAUAUAUAUAUAUAUAUAAAUUGGCAUUGUCAACUUUUGUAUGUUUUAUUCAGAACCCGCUGUGGGUUGACGCUAGCAUGCUUGCGUUAGGAGACGAGGGGACCAAUCUUGGGGCUGAGCUAAAAUAUAAGCUUGUAGAGAUCAUCUUGCUAAUGGUAAUGUUUUCCGAUGCUGGUUUAAUUCAUGGUAUAAAAAGGAGAACAAAAAAGAUUUUUCUAUGCUUUGAAAAUAUUAUAAUUUUUAUUUUAUAAUUUUUAAUAAAAUCUCUCAUUGAUAGCCAAACAAUUAAAAUUUUUGUAAAGCUUUUGUGGACUUUUGAUCGCGUAUGGUGCCAAUGUAUUGCGUGGUCCUAUUAUGGUUCCAAAUGGAGAAAGUUGCACAAGUUUUUUGAGUACCAGAAGAUCAGUAAUGUAAGCCUUGAUGGUUGUUAUGGUCUAAGAAAACAAGAGGCUAAAAAUUCUAUCUGGGAUUUUUAUAACAACAACAAAAUUGGCAAGCCCAUUGACAUUGGUGAAUUGUCAGUUUCAACCUUGGUAAGUGCGAUUCAGAACAUGCUGUGGGGUGAAACGCUUGAAAUAACAAAGAAAUGGAUUUACUAAUAUUGGGGCUGGGCUAAGAUUUAAGCUUGCAGAACUCACGGUGCUAGAGGGAACACCGAAUAUUUUGGAUAUCUUUCCAGUGCUUUCAUGGUUUAAUAUACAAGGUUUUCAGAGAAUAGCAAAGAAGAUUUCUCUAUGGUUUUAAAAUAUUAUCAAUUCUACUGCUGAACGCUAUAGAAACAACGUCUCUAUUGUCAAAAGUGAAGAAGCAGCAGCAGCAGGGAACAAUAUUGAAGGAAGGAAUAAGGACUUGGUGCAGUUACGCUUGGAGCUUCAAGGUAAAGAAGACAAUGCUUCAUCAAUUAGCAGGACGCAAUUUAAGAGCUUGCUCGUGGUAUGUUGCGCAACUAGCCACAGACAGUUACAGAAACUGAGUUUGGCAGAUUACGACCGUUUCUGGUGAUUACAUAAUUAUUUGUGGCUGUUUUUUUUUUUUAAUUGUAAUUUUCUUAACAGGAUAUAAUUUAGGGUGGAACCAACACCACAACUAUAAUGGUGGAAUGGACAAUGGCAUAAUUGAUACAGCAUCCACAAGUAAUAGAGAAUGUACAGGUAGAACUAAAUCGGGCCGUGGCCAUCGACAGCCAUGUUGAAGAAUUUCACCUAGCUAAGUUAAAAUAUUUAGAUGCUGUGGUGAAAGAAACAUUCUGCACUGUAAUAUAAUACAUGAAUCAUAUGUCCUCUAUUGUUUUUUUAUUUUUCUCUUUUUUUCAAUAGCUUAAUCUAUCAUUAAAAUCUUCUGAAAUUCUAAAUUAAUAUACAUUCAACCUAGAGUUCAAGCCAAAGUUUUAUUGAGCAUUAAAAAAAAAAAAAAUUCUACGACUCAAAAUUUUGUGGAGUAUAAAUUAAAAAUUAUGCGCCUACUAAGAGACAAAAAAUAAAUGAUACACAUUAACCAAUCAAAGGCGAACAAGAGAUUAUUAACAAUAACCUAAUAAUAAAAUUAUAAUGAAUAAAAAAGAAAUGGUACCUAGAAACACAUCACAGCCAUUUAAGCAAUCACUUACCCACAAAAUCCAAACAUAUAAACUAUGUGGGGGGGGGGGGGGGGGGGGGGGGUGUCAUGAUACCUUUGGGUUUCAUGAUAAUCAAAAUUGCAAUACCAUUAAAGACUCAAAAAUAAAAAAAAUCAUAGCCAAUAAAAGAGAAAAAAUAACCCACAAAAAAUCAUCAAGAAAAUAAAUUUGAGACUAAGAGAAGAUAUUAAUUAAACCCUGGGUUGCCUUGGAACCACGGCUUUGGCUUCCAUUUUUCAAUUCUUGGCGACAAGUCAUUUCUUGUUUGUUUACAAAGAUGACGGCUGAUUAAUGAAGCUCUAUUAACAAUGAAUAAAUAAAAAAACUGGCGCCUUGAAAAGACUAACGGUCAUAUUUUUCAACUCCGAAUUAGUGCCGUUUGAUGAGUCCUUGCCAAAACAAUCACUAGGCAAAUAACAAUCAUUUUUCAACCAGCAAAACUCAUUCAUUGUAUUUCACCUUAGUCAAGAUUUAAAAAUUGUUUCAAAAUAAACCUAGUGGUUAGAACCCAAGCGUCACAAUUGUGAGGUCAUGGGUUUGAGCCCCCACAACGUAUUGUGGGGGUUAAUUUUCUUCUUCAAUUUGAGUGAAAACAGUUCUCUCCCUUUCGAAAUGUGGGUGGAGUGGACGUCCCUCAAAUAUUAGAGAGGGUUCAAAUUUGGAUUGUACUAUAUAAGAUUUAUAAAUUAGUCCCAGUAAUUAUCUGAUUGUAAAUAUCAAUAUACUAAUCUAAUUAAAUAUGAGUUGUAAUAUGAGCGUUAGUCUCAUGUAAUUAAAAAAAAAAUGUUUCAAAAUAGGAUUCUUAAAAGGUUGGGGAAAUGGCCAUCAAUAUCCCCAACUUUCCAAAAAGAGACACCAAGACCCAUUUUGACCAUAAUACCCUUUACUUCUAUUAUCCCCAAAAAAUUGACUCUAAUGUUUUAUAAUAAAUAAAAAUAUAACAUUAAAAUAAAUGUAAUAGUAUAUACAUUUUAAAAUAGUUUCAAUAUCUAAAAACCAUUUUAAUAUUUUAAAUCCUAUUAUAUAUAUAUUAAAGUAAAUUUUAUAAUAAAUAGAAUCAUAAUAUUGAAAUAAAUGCAUUAAAAUUUAAAUUAUUUUUAAUAUUAUGUAAAAUAAUAAUUUUAUCAUUAUAAGUAUAUGAGAAUUUUUUUAAUUGUAGAAUGUAUUUAAUGCAAAUAUUUAUUUAAAAUCUCUACAAUAAAUAAAAAUAUACUAUUAAAACAAAUCUCUACAAUAUAUACAUACAUACAUAUACAUUGGCCUGGUAUUUUAUUUUUCAUUUUUUAAACUUAUUAAAUCCUCUAACUAUCAUUUGAUUAUUUUUUUCAAUGAUGAAGAGGCCAUUGCCGGAUAAAUUAUUAAAAUCAACUAGUUCUACAAGAAUGUCCCUUUUUAAAGGAAGAUGAUUCUCUCUCUCGAAAUUUUUUAUCUUGUGCUACAAACUAAAAACUUAUGCCAUUUCAUUAACCACAGAGAUCUUUGAGGAAAUGAUGCUUCGCCCCCCCCCCCCCCCCCCCCCCCCCCCCCCCCCCCCCGCGGCGCCAAAAAGUGUCCUUCCAUAUUUUGUGAAGGCUAAUACAUCGAUGAAUCUAGAUUUCUUUAAAUUUUUUGUUUUACUCAAUUCGAGAUAAUAAAUAGUUUAUCUUUAUUAAAUCUUUACUUUAACAAUGAUAGAUAUUCAAUCCAUGCAAAUAUCUAUCAUUGUAUGAGCUGAUUGCGUGGAGGGAGCGGUAAUUGAAAUCUAAUUGAAAACAGCAGAAGGCUGUUCUUGACAGAUCUCAAAUAUAUUACGGACACGUUGGGAGACAUCUCUAUCAUAGAUAUCCCCAUGCAGUGAUAUUUGUCGUGAUCUAAUUUUUAGUAAAUCUGUAAGAGAGAUUGUAACAUCUUUCAAGUUUUUUGGUUUGAUAUUCUAGACGAAAACGGUUUGUCGUUUCUUGAGCAAACGGCUAACCGUUUAAGUCCAGAGAGCAUGUUUGUUGUUCUGGAUAAAACGGCUCACCGUUGUUGCGAAAACGGCUAACCGUUUAACUCAAGAGAGCAUGUUUUAUGUUCUAGAGAAAACGGCUCACCGUUAUUGAGAAAACGGCUAACCGUUUAUUUACAGAGAGCAACGUAUUUGAUAUUCUGGAAUAAAAUGGCUCACCAUUUAUUGAGAAAACGGCUAACUGUUUAUUUCCAGAAAGGCGUCAAUUAGAAAAACGGUUAGCAAGAAUGAAAAUUUCAAUUGACAAUCGAUGCAAAUUCAAACCAAAAGAGUGUCUUCGAAAAAGUACCAUUUCUAAUGGUUGUAUUCUUUCAAAUAAACAUCUUCUUCAUUAAAGAAAUACACACAAUUAGAUUGAUAAUCAGAUUUUGACAGGUUUCUUAUAUGUUCUGGAAAUACAAUCUUAUUUGCUAGAGAUUGUAUUCAGGAUUUGUUAUAUCUUGGGGGUAAUUUGCCAUUAAAACUAUAUAGCAAACCAAGAUUGGUGAGGGCAAAUAAAACCUUAAAGGAAAGUAUGCAAACACGUCUCAAAUCCUAUGAAACUUUCUUUGUUCUUUGCCUCCAUAUUCUUAUUAUUCACUAACAAAAUCCCCAUGCAGUGAUAUUUGUCGUGAUCUAAUUAUUAGAAAAAUCUAUGAUUUCGCUACUGUAAUAAAAUUUGUCACUACUCUACAUUAAUCUAAAUGUCUGAUGAGAUUUGUAAUUGCUUCCGACGGGAAAACAGUUAAUAGGUUGAUUGAAUGUAUGUGGUAAAGAUUCCACGUAUCUCACGACAGAAUGCUGACCACUGGAACCCUAUCUACUUUUACGCGAUUAAUUCACGAGCUUAGGCACGACAAUUGCAAUACAAAUUAUCCCUUCAUCAUAUAUUUCGUUAAAAUUCAUUCUGAAGCACUAAAACUAAACAAUCGAAUAUGGCUUUGAGGGUCGAUGAUGCCAGCAGCAAUGAGAGUGCAAUUAUCACUUGUUUAGUUUCUGUGCUUGCCGUGGCUUAUUUAGCAUGGAAUGUGAAAAAAUCAAGGAAAGCAAAUGCUAAACUGCCACCAGGACCUCGCGGCUUGCCUGUAGUCGGAUACCUCCCAUUUCUCGGGACUACUGACUUGCACAAGAAAUUCACGGAAUUUAUUUUACUAUUAUAUUUAUAUUCAAAAUAAUUUUAAUUAGCUUUUAAAAUGAAUGAUUUUAGGAAAUUAUAAAUAAAGGUAACUAAGAAUUCUCUUAAUGUAAUAUAUUAUUAAUUAGUUUAAAAAUACAAAUUUAUUAAUUAGAGAAAUUAUUAGUGAAUUUAAAUUAAUGAUCUUAAUGAUUUGUUUGUACGAUUGCCCCCAAUCAAAGGUAAUUUUCCUAAAAAUUAUUAGGAAAUUAGAGAAAUUUAAUUUUUUUAGUGGGUUCAAUUGCCCACACACCCCGACUGAAGCAUUUUUUACAAUAUGUACUCCGUUUGUCGGCAGGAAAAUAAAGGUCUUGACACAUGAUCACUUCACUCCUUUAUUUACUUUGCUAACGCAGAUUUUGAGGUAUUAAAACAAAUAAUAAUUGAAUAUGACUUUGUGGGUCGACGACGCCAGCAACGAGGAGACCGCCAAUUAUCACAUUUUAAGUUUGCUGUAAUUGCCGUUGUUUUAUAUUAGUAGAAUAUUAGUGAUAAGAUAAUUGUAGAGUUUUCAUUUUUUUAAUAUUAAAAUCAAGUCAAUUUAUUAUAAUAAAUUUAGUUGAAUUUAAUCGUAUUACCACAUAAAUUGAAUAAUAAUAGAAUUCUCGACAAUAUUUCAAUAUUUUAAUCUCAAGCAUUGGAGUGGCAUUUAUUUGUUAUACGGUCGAUUUUAGAAUUUAUAAAAUUAUUCGUUGCUGAAUUGCACCAUAUGCUGCAUAACCUGAAACUUAAUAAACGGAACGUAGCGUUGGCACCGUUACUCAACAUUCACUGUUACGACUUUGUGACAUUAGAAUUAAAAUCUUUUCCACAUUUAAUUUGUUUACUUCCAACUUAAUAUUUAACAAAAUGUAUGUUAGCAUUGUAUGCCAUAUCAUCUGUAAUUUUGUCAGGAUCGAUCAUUCUAAUUUUUAAGCAGAACUUUUUGUCAAUGGACAAACACCUCAUACAGCUUGUCAGAGGCAUUAGUAUGAUGUAAAAUUGUAAUGGUAUAUCUUGAAUUAUUUUAGAAUAGUGAAUAACUAUUUGGAGCAAUAAAAACAAAUAAGACAGAUGAGAAAAUGGCUAAAAUUAUAUAAGUGACCCAAAAUUUUUUGCUAUUUCCAAGAAAUCCCCAAUCUGAAUGGACCAGAGGGAGGCAAGUUAGAAAUACAUUUCCUUCAUAGACAAUAACAACGAUGAGUGGAUGACAUCAAACCACGUUGGUAUCAAUAUUGAAAUAAAGGUGCAAUUAUUCAGCCAAUGAGCCUUAGUACACAUCAAGAUAUAUAAAAGUCAAGAAAAUGAAAAUUUAUCCCAAUUAAAACUCUUUCUGGCUGCAUUUAGCUGUUUCUGUUUAGGGAUGGCAAUUUAAUCCGGACCCAGCCCGACCCGGAUGAAUCCAGAAAAUUCGGGGUGGAUUCAACCCGUACCGGAGUGAAUAAAAUCUGAUAUUCAAAUUCAAUAUUUUCAACCCGGACGUUUCCGAGUCCGGAUCCGGAUUUGGGUAAACCCGCAUAUCCGGAACCCGGAUCCGGAUAACUAUUUUAAUAUUAAUUUUUAAAUCAUUUUAAAAUAAAAAAAAAUUAGAAAAAAUCAGCCCUAAUGCCCUUCCACAGCCACGGCAGCCAAACCAAACCCAGACAUUUCCUCUCUCUCUCUUUAGCCCUUCUUUUCAACAAAUCAUCAUCGUUGCUCAUCAUCGUUUCGUCGUGUUCAUCUUCAUCUUCAUCAUCAGCUGCCGUUUGUCCAGCUAUGUCACUAGUUUUGGCCGCCGUUUCCGUUUGUGCACCUUCGCAAAUCGGGAUCUCGAUUUGGCCGCCAACACUUCUACCCCCUGGUGUUUUGCUUUGUCCUCGACAACUUCUUUGUUGAUAAAUUGACGGGCACUUAUGAAUGCAUUUGUCUCUGUUUCUUCAUUUACACCUUCCCAGUUGUUUGUUCAUUUGCUUUUUGGAAGGAAAAAAAAAAAAAAUCAGCCACCAUUUAUCCUUCCCCUUUUCUUGACCUAACCCCACAAAGCCCAAUUUGUCAUCAUCAUUCAUUGGCAAAUUUGUUAUCAUCAUGGUUGAGACAUCAUGAUUAUCUUUGAUAAUUGAAUUUGUGUAAUAUGUUACCUUGGAUUUUAUUUCUAAGUAUUUGAUUUUGAAUUAUUUUCCAUUAUUGGUGUUAAUAGAUAGAAGAUUAGAAAGGAAUUCUUCACUGAAUAAAGAGAUGGGAAAUUGCAUCUUUUAGCAAUCAUCCGGGUUAUAAACCCGGAAUCCGGAAACCAGGAUUUUUCCGGGUUUAACCCAGUCCGGACCCGAAUGAAAAAUAUCCGGGUUUACAUCCGGGUCUGGUAUUAAAAUUUAUCGUCCGGAUCCGGAACAGGGAAGACAAAACCCGGACCCGAACCCACAUUUUGCCAUCCCUAUUUCCAUUUGAAGUUAACAACAACGUUUCUUUCGUUUUGUGGGCGACUUGACUGAGCCAGCUGGAUUCUAGUGCUAGUAUGUGAAAAUAGAAGGCUAAUGAUUUCACGUUCACUAGCCCACCUCCCCUCCUCUCGUUUCCUCUGAAUCAAUUUUCACGUGUGGUACCGAUUGAAAAUAUCUCUGACAUUUCGUGGACAUCUCUAUUGAAAAUAUCUCAGACAUUUCACUCAGGCAAACUUAUUAAUAUAAAAAAUCUAUGAUUUUUUCGUCUUAUACUGUAGAAAAAUUUGUCUAUACAUUAAUCUAGAUGUUUGAGGUGGUUUAUACAUCUGUGGUAUAGAUUUAUAGGUUGAUUGAUACGUCUGUGGUAUAGAUUUUAUGUAUUUCAUUAUCAAAUGCUGGCCUUUGGGACCCUAUCUACAUCUAUUUAUAAAACUAACGGGUGCCAGUUAUGCCAUUACAAAUUAUCCCCUCUUCAUACAUUUCCUUAAAAUUCUUCUGAAACACCAAAACUAAAUAAUCGAAUAUGGCUUUGCGGGUCGAUGAUGCCAGCAACAAUGAGGCUGCAAUUAUCACUUGUUUAGUUUCUAUGCUUGCCGUGGUUUAUUUCGUAUGGAAUGUGAACAAAUCAAGGAAAGCAAAUGCUAAACUGCCACCAGGACCUCGCGGUUUGCCUGUAGUCGGAUACCUCCCAUUUCUCGGAACUACUGACUUGCACAAGAAAUUCACGGAAUUAUCCGGAGUUUAUGGUCCGAUCUUCAAGCUCUGGCUCGGAAAUAAAUUAAGUGUCGUGGUGAGCUCACCUUCCCUAGUUAAACAAGUGGUUCGUGAUCAAGAUACAACAUUCGCAGACCGUGACCCGCCGAUCUCAGGACUAGUGACCUCCUUUGGUGGCAAUGAUAUUACAUGGUCCAAUUACGGUCCCGAAUGGAGAAAGUUGCGCAAAUUUUUUGUGGGCAAGAUGAUGAGUAACGCAAGCCUUGAUGCUUGUUAUGCUUUAAGAAAACAUGAGGUUAAAAAUACUAUCAGGGAUUUGUAUAACAACGGCAACAAAAUUGGUAAGCCCAUUGACAUUGGUGAAUUGUCGAUUUCAACAUUGGUAUGUGCUAUGCAGAACAUGCUGUGGGGUGAAGCGCUUGAAUUAAAAGAGAAAGGGACAACUAAUCUUGGGGUUGAGCUAAAAUUUAAGUUUGCAGAACUCAUGGUGCUACUGGGAACACCGAAUAUUUCGGAUAUCUUUCCAAUGCUUUCUUGGCUCGACAUACAAGGUAUAGAGAGGAGAGCAAAGAAGAUUUCACUCUGGUUUGAAAAAAUUAUAAAUUCUACUGUUGAAAAGUAUAGAAGCAAGGACUUUAAUGUUGAAGGUAAAGAAAGAGCAGGGGAAAAUUUUGAAGGAUCAAGGAACAAGAACUUCUUGCAGUUACUAUUGGAGCUUCAAGAAAAUGAAGACGGUUCUUCCUCAAUUAGCAUGAACCAAUUUAAGGCCGUACUCGUGGUAUGUUAAGAAACUAGCCGCAAACAGUUAUACAAGCACAGCUGUAUAUUUUGCAUGAGUGAUAUUUUCAACCUUUUUUUUUUAUAAUUAGAAUUUUAUUGUAACCUUUUGGACAGGAUAUAAUUACGGCUGGAACCGACACCACAACUACGAUGGUGGAAUGGACAAUGGCAGAGUUGAUGCAGCAUCCACAAAUAAUGAAGAAAGUUCAGGAAGAAUUAGCUCAAGUUGUGGGCAUGGACAGUUGUGUUGAAGAAUUUCAUUUGCCUAAAUUGAAAUAUUUAGAUGCUGUGGUGAAAGAAUCGUCUCGUCUGCAUCCUGCAGUGCCUUUAUUACUACCACGCAGAGCAAGCGAGAGUGGCAGCAUUGGUGGCUAUAACAUUCCCAAAGAUACAACUAUUAUGUUGAAUGUUUGGGCAAUCCACAGGGACCCUAAACUUUGGGAUAAUCCCUUAGAAUUUCGACCCGAGAGGUUUCUAGAUGAUGGUAUCGCGAGUAAGUUCGAUUACUCAGGUAACAAUUUUCAGUACUUGCCAUUUGGUUCUGGUAGAAGGAUGUGUGCUGGGAUUCCUCUAGCUGAGAGGAUGCUGAUGUUUGUUUUGGCUUCGUUAUUGCACUCAUUUGAGUGGGAAUUGCCAGCUGGCACAAAGCUAAACUUAUCUGAAAAAUUUGGGAUUGUCAUUAAGAAAAAAGAGCCUUUAGUUGCUAUUCCAACACCAAGACUAUCCAAUUCAGAGCUCUACCAUUAAGACAGAAUGGUUGUGAUGAUUUUGUUAAUUUCCGAAGAUUUGUAUGUUAUGUCAAGUUCAAUCGUAAUAAAAUAUUUCAAAUAAGAGUCCUCCGUUGCUUUUUUUUUUUUUUUCAACCGCAUAAUCUGUCGUCAUGCUUGUAUUUGGGGCUACUUUGGAAUAAUUAUGUUUGAAUUACAAUAUAUAAAUAUUACAUUUUAAAAUUUUAUGAGAUUCUAAAUUUAUACACGUUCAAUAACCCACUUCAUAUAUGUUUAACACAAUUUAUAUCAUACAUUGUAUACCCAUUUGUCAUAAAUUACGCUAUUUUAUAUCUCUAAAUAAUAUUACAUAUUGAUAUUAUAAAAUGUUGUUAACUCACGUGUGUAUAUAUAUAUAGCAAGUCACGUGCAUAUAUUAUUGGUUGUUAUAUGUUUGCUAGUUUGAUAGGAUUUCCUUUCCUUGUGAACUAGGGUAAUUCUUAUGUACAUAUAAAUAUUGAUCAAUAAGAGUGCAGAUGAUGACUGCAGUUUUGCAUCGUAGAAAUUCUUCGUAAAAUAUAUAUGUUUAUCAAAAGGCUAUACCAUUCAAUAUAUAUUGGAAAGAGAACAAAGAAGAUCUUCUUAUGGUUUGAAAAUAUUAUGAAUUCUGCUGUUGAACAGUAUGGAAACAAGGUCUGUUGUUAAAGGUGAAGAAGUCACAGGGAACAAUAUUGAAGGAAGAAAUUUCACGUUUAGUUGCUGAAUUUGCCGCUGUAUUCUAUCGGUAGUAAAAAGAUUAGAGUUUUUAUUUUUCUCUAUUAAUGUUAAGUCAAUUUUCUAUAACAAAUUCGGUUGAGUUUAAUUGUGUUACAAUAUAAAUUGAAUGAUAGUAGAAUUUUCAACGAAUAAUUCAAUAUUUCUAUCUCGAUUGUUGAAGUGCCAUUUAUUUGUUAUACGAUCGAUUUUAAAAUUUAUAAAAUUAUUUGUUACUAAAUUGCAUCAUAUGCUAAAUCACCUGAAACCUAAUUUCAUAACUAACCCUUUAUUUUUAGUUCUCAAGAAAUCUUGUAAGAACAAAAUUCUUUUGUAACAAAACGUUUACAACAAAUUAAUUUGUAACUCAUUCCUGUGCGAGAAUCACUCUCAAUUUCCUUCAAUUGCUGUUUAACAAUCAUCUGCUUAUCAAAAUUCAAGCAUAAUCUUUUUUUUUAAUUUCUUCAUCAUUCUUUUGAAAAAAAAAAUCAGGAUAUGCUGUUAAAUUUUGAAAUAAAUUAUCUCAAAAUAAUUACUAACCAGAAAAAACAAAGGGGUUUAACUAGGUUAUGCAUACCUUUGAAAAUUAUAUGUUGAUCGAUAAGAAUGAUGAUCACGAUUGACGAGUUUAAUUAAAAUAUAUAAGAUUUUAAAAUUAAUCAGGGUUAAAUUGUGAAUUUUAGAAAGAGAGGUUUUGUGAGAAUGUUGAAAGGGUGUUAAUAGUUCCACUCUUUUUAAAAACAACCAUAGUCAUCAUUUUUCCAUGGUUGUUUUUAAAAAGAGUAUUUCUUCUUCCCAUCUCCAUCUUAUUUAGAAAUUUCCCAGAGCCUUUGUUUCCCACCUUUCAUUUUUCUUCUUUCUAAUUUAAUAAUCCACCCUUCUUGUAUUCAAACUAAAAAAUUAAAAUCUGAAAAUUUAAAACCCAAUAUUAUAGUAUUAUAAAAAUAAUUACUCACAUUUUAUCAAACACCUCCAUUCUUCCAAGGCCUUGUUUUAGUAGUAGGCUUUUAUUAUCUCAAUAAAAUUGAAAAAAAAAAUCUCAAUAAUAUUGGAAAAAAACCCUACCCAUAUUUGUAACUUUAAUUUAUUAUUCUCCAUAGACCUACUUUUUAGUUUUGAAUUUUGUUGGAGCCAUAUAUAAACAGAAUAUGUUGAAAUCAGCACCCAAAAAAAAAAAAACUAAUUAUAUAAUUUAUGUUCCCAAGGACAUGGCUGAGUGAUUUUCAAGAAGUUUUGUUUGGCUGGCCACUUAGGUUUAAAUCUUGGUGGAGAUUAAGGGUUAAGAAAUAAAUUUAGACUUUGCACACCCCUUUAACUUUUAAAAAGAAAUGAAAAAAUUAAUUAAUUAAUCUUUAUUUUAUUUAUUAAAUGUCAUAAUCCUAUGCGUAUUUUAUUUGUUAUCUUUCUAUUUAAAAGACGAGGGCAGAUAAAACUGAAAUAAAUUUUUAGCCCUAUCUCCAUAUUUCAAGUUCCAUAGUUAGGUGACCAGCUAAAAAAAAUUAAUUGAAAGCUACUCCAUCAAAUUAAAAAAAUUUAUUUAUUUAAUUUGUGGAGAUGUAGAAAAUCAAACCCCAUACCUUUUCGCAUACACUGAACAUAUUUUAAUACAUGACUAUCAUCCUUUAUCCUAAAUACUACUAUAACUAAUAACAUACAAUUGAAAUAAUUAAUGUUAACACUUGGCUAUAAAUAAAGGUUUUGUGCUUGAAUCUUCACGCAUGACCUUCAUUCCUUUAUUGACUUUGCUAACACAGAUUUUGAGGCAUUAAAACUAAAUAAUAAUUGACUUUGUGGGCCGAGGAUGCCAGCAACAAGGAGACCACAAUUAUCACUUAAGUUACUCUAAUUGCCGUUGUCUUAUAUUCAUAGAAUAUUAGUAAUAAGAUUAUUGCAGAAUUUUUUUAAUAUUAAAAUUAAGUCAAUUUGUUAUAACAAAUUUAGUUGAGUUUAAUCGUGUUACUACAUAAAUUGAAUAAUAAUAGAAUUCUCGACAAAUAUUUCAAUAUUUUUAUCCCAAGCGUUGGAGUGGCAUUUAUUUGUUAUACGAUCGAUUUUAGAACUUAUAAAAUUAUUCGUUACUGAAUUGCACCAUAUGCUGCAUGACCUGAAACUUAAUAAACGGAAUGUAGCGUUGGCACCGUUACUCAACAUACUGUUACGACUUUGUGACAUUAGAAUUAAAAUCUUUUGCACAUUUAAUUUGUUUACUUCAAAAUUAAUAUUUAACAAAAUAUUUUUUUCACAUUAUCAAUGGACAAAACUCCAACGAAAAUAACUACACAAGAAAAAUGUAUGCUAGUAUUGUGUGCCAUAUCAUCUGUAAUUUUGUCAGGAUCGAACACUCUAAUUUUUAAGCAGAACUUUUUAUCAAUGGACAAACACCUCACACAGCUUGUCAGAGGCAUUAUUAUGAUAGAAAACUGUAAUGGUAUAUCUUGAAUUAUUGGUAGAAUAGUUCUUUGGAGCAAUAAAAAUAGAUAAGACAGAUGAGAAAAUUGUCAAUACCCCACCGCAAAAGCAAAAGAAAAAAAGGAAAGGAGACAAAAGAGGAAGAAGAAAAAAAGGAAAGGAGACAAAAGAGGAAGAAGAAAAAGAAAAAAGAACGAAGAAAAAAAUGGUGCCGCGCUGUAUUGGGAAGAAGAAAAAAAUUAAUAAAAUAAUAAUAAAUAAUAAAUAAUAAAUAAUAAAAUAAUAGUGCACAACAAUCAUUUGAUUGCUAUAAAUAAAGGGGCAUUUUCCUCAUUUUAUUCAUCGAAUUCUUCAGUUCCUUUCAAGCGAUUUAAGAGUCUAGUGAUUUGAGAGUUUGGGAGUAUUGUGAUUUUGAGUACUAAGUUAAAAUACUAUAAUACUUGUAACUCAUUUUCACUAGUAAAAUAUUUUUCUUCUGUCUUCGCCCGUAGACGUAGGCUAAAAGCUGAACCACGUAAUUUCUGGUGUCCCUAUGUGAUUAUGUGUCUCAUUAUUUCUCAAUUUUACUUUAGUUACGUGUCUGCUACACCCUUCAAUUUACUAACAAAAAUGGCCAAAAUUAUAUAAGUGACCCAAAUUUUUUUGCUAUUUCCAAGAAAUCCCCAAUCGGAAUAGACCAAACUAGAGGGAGGCAAGUUAGAAAUACGUUUCCUUCAUAAACAAUAACAGCGAUGAGUCGAUGACAUCGAGCCACGUCGGUAUCAAUAUUGAAUUAAAGGUGCAAUUAUUCAGCCAAUGAGCCUUACACAUCAAGAUAAAAGUCAAGAAAAUGAAAAAUUUAUCCUAAUUAAAACACUUUCUGGCUGCAUUUAGCUGUUUCUAUUUGAAGUUAAAAACAACAUUUCUUUCGUUUUGUGGGCAACUCGACUGAGUUCGCUGGCUUCUAGUGCUAGUAUGUGAAAAUAGAAGGCUAAUGAUUUAUUUGUUAUCUUUUGACAAAAAAUGUUAAAGAUAUAAUAGAUUUUCCAUGAUACAAAUGAAAAAUUAUAUCAACAUAACUUCCAAGCUACAGCAGCUAGUGUUUACCAAACACUUUGCUGUAGCUUUUAAGCUACAGCUGCCCAACCUCAAUAGGUUGAUUGAAUUUGUGGGAUAUAGAUUCCACAUAUCUCAUGACCUAUUAAUUAUACAAGUGGUUCUUGAUCAAGAACAACAUUUGCUUCCGACCCAGUAACCCAGCAACUGCUGCACUGGUCGCCACCUAUGGUGCCGACGAUAUUGCAUGGUCCAAUUAUGGCCUUGAAUGGAAAAAGUUGAGCAAAUUAUUUGUGGGCACGAUGAUAAGUAACGCAAGCCUUGAUGCUAGUUAUGGUCGAAGAAAACAAGAGGUUAAGAAUACUAUCAGAGAUAUGCAUAACAACAAAAAGGAAAAAAAAAAAAAAAGGCAUUGGCAAGUCAAUUGAUAUUGCUGAAUUGUCGAUUUCAACUUUGGCAUGUGUAAUUCAGACAUUGCGCGUUGUGGUAUGGCGCUGGCACGCUUGCAUUGCCGAGAGGACAAAUCUUGGGGCUGGGCUAAAAUUUAGGCUUGUAGAACUCAUGGUGCUAAUGGGAACGCCAAAUUUUUUUAACAUAUUUCGGUGCUUUCAUGGUUUAAUUCAAGGUAUAGAAAGGAGUGUUGAGAAUGUCAAAUAAAACGACAUUGAAUGGAAGUUGUCAAAGACAUGAUCCGCACUGAACGGCAAUGACACGGUUGGUAAAGAUUUUUUCAUAAUAUGCGUAUCUAAUUUUUGAAAAAUUGUAACCUCUGCUUCUAUAAAUAUGCUCAAUGUAUAAUGUUUUACUUAAGAAAUGAAAAACUUAAUUCUUUAUGGUAUCAGAGCGAGGCUCGUUGCUCUGUUUGUAACAAAAACAAAGAAAACUAAAUUCUUCCCACAACUAUUUUUCCACCUUUUUUUCUUCCUUAAAAGCAUUCCUAGCAUUACAGAAACCCAUGCCAAUAAAAGAACAAGCCACACAUAUGUAAAAACUUUAGUUUACAAAUCUAUCAACAUCCCCAUAAAUUUUCCCAAAAAGUGAUCUUCAAAAACCAAAAAUACCAUCAAUUUUCGCAUCUUCUAGUAAACAAACUAUAAAAGUUUCGCACUCAAACAGAGCCACACGCGCCUCCACGCGCUUCCCGGAAUCACGGCCAACCACCACGCGCCUCUGUCACCACCAACUCACCCUCAUGCGCUCCAGAUGUUGCAGAAGACGCAAAACGACGUGUCGUUUUCUUCUCUAAAAGUGCAGCAACGUGGAAAUGACUUUUUGUUUUUGCCUUAAAUUGUUUUUCCUCGUUUGAAGCUAUACAACAUUUUUCUUUCUAAACCUGUUUUUUACAAUAAAAAAAGAAAAAAAUGGAGAAAACUCCAACUGAAUCUACUCAUGUUGUCAUUCAAUCUGUUCAACCUGAUGGAGUAUUUAAUGCCGAAAUUAUCCUUACUAAGACAAACUACGAUAUUUGAUCUCAAAUAAUGGAGAUGCAUCUCGCAGAAAGAAAAAAACUCCCAUAUAUUCGUAGCAGCAUAAAUCCAUCUGACAAAUUUUCAAAGAAAUAUGAGAAAUGGUAUAGUGAGAACCAAAAAGUAAAAAGAUGGUUACUCAUAACCAUGUGUCCUGAGAUCAUGAAGCGAUAGUUACAAAUUCCUACAGCCUACGAAAUUUAGAAUGCAUUAUCAAAAGCCUUUUAUAAUGGAAGCGAUGAAAUACAAGUUUUCACUCUAAAUCAGAAGGCGUUCUCUACGAAGCAAAAUGGACAACCACUCUCUAAAUUCUACGGAGAAUUGAUCAAAAUGUUUCAAGAACUUAAUCACCGAGAUAAAGUGGUCAUGAAGGAUCCAGAAGAUGUUAUAAUAUAUAGGAAGUUUGUUGGAAGAUUGAGAGUGCACAUUUUUCUUGCUGGACUAGAUGAAGAAUUUGACCAAGUUUGUGGAGAAAUUCUACGAAAAGAUACUAUCCUAGACUUAAAAGAAUGUUAUUCUCUAAUCCGAAAAGAAGAUGUACGGCAAAGCAAACUAACAAGAAGGUGGACGACUCAGAAACGUCUGCUAUGAUACCACAAGAGAACAAUGUUUUGAAAUUGUUCGAUAUCCUGACUGGUGGGAUACUCGAAGUAAUAACACAAAGCAGAGAUAAAAAACUGCAGUAGCUGAAUCCACAUCCACUACAGAUCUUAGAAAAGAAUCUUCAGCGCAAAUUGCAACCUCUGUCAAUUCAGGUAAGGUCAUUAAAACUCUUACAUUUGUUAUUAAUAGUAUAUGGAUAAUUGAUUAUGGUGCAACUGAUCAUAUGACUUUUGAUUCUUGACAAGUUUCUUAAUUGAAACCAUCUUCACAUAAACAUGUUUCUACUGUAAAUAGAACCACAACCUCAGUUAUUGGGGAAGGAUCUUUACAACUCACAAUUAAAUCAAAUUUAGACUUUGUGUUAAUUGUUCCAUCUUUAAAUUAUAAUCUUUUAUAUGUGUCUCAAAUAACCUCUUACUUAUCAUGUGUUGUAAUGUUUUGGCCCGAUCAUUGCAUGUUUAAGGACAUCCAAAUGAAGGAAACGAUUGGUUAUGAUAUUAAAUAAGGCAACUUGUAUUACCUGGAGAUGACAUCAACAAACACUGAAAAGCUAAGCCCCGCAUUAGUAGCAGACAAUUCCAUGAAAAAAAAGGAAAUAAGAAAUUUGGUUAUGGCAUAGACGAUUAGGGCAUGUGUCAUUUGAUUUCUUAAAAAAAUUGUUUCCUAGUUUGUUUCUGAAAUUUGAUAUUUGUAACUUUAAAUAUGAUGUUUGUGAACUUUCAAAUAGCCAUCGAACUACUUUUCCAUUGUCCUUAAAUAAGAAUCCAAUUCCUUUAAUGGUAGUACAUUCUGAUGUAUAGAGACCAUCUAAAGUUUCUACCAUUGGAAGAGCUCGUUGGUUUGUUACAUUUAUUGAUGAUUGUAGCAGAAUGACAUGGAUUUUUUUAUGAAAUUAAAAUCAUAUGAUGGUGACAACUCUAUUUCAGACACAAAUUUGAGUUCUACAUACUGAUAAUGGAGGCGAGUAUAUGAGCACAACAAUUCAACAGUUUUUGAAAUCACAAUGAACUCACCACCAAACCACUUGUGUGGGGACACUCCAACAAAAUGGCGUUGCUAAACAAAAAAAUAGACAUUUACUAGAAGUUGUUCAAGCAUCACUAAUUUAGGCCCGCAUGCCACUAUUUUAUUGGGGAGAAGCAUUGGCAUCCGUAGCAUACUUGAUCAAUCGGACACCUUCAAUCUUCCUUGGAUUCCAAACUUAUUUUCUAGUUCUAAAUGAAGAAUUAUGUCAUCAAAUGUGUCGAAUUUACCCCCACAUAUGUUUGGUUGUGUUGCCUUCGUUCAUUUGCCAUGACAAGAUAAAUUAUCUCCUCGAGCACUACGUUGUGUGUUUGUAGGGUAUGCCUUACAUCAAAAGGGGUACCGAUGCUAUCAUCCUCUAUUAAGAAAAAAUAUACAUCACCAUGGACAUAAUCUUUCAUGAAGAUAUCAUGUAGUACCCAUCGGAGCUUGAAUUUCAGAGGGAGUAUAAUGAAGAGGAAAUUCAUACUCUUACAUAUCUUUCACCUGAAGAAGAUCAAUCCUCCAUUGAGGUAGUAAACGUUCAAGAUACUGGAAAAGAAAACGACAAUGAUUCUCAGGCUGAGACAAGUGAAGACACAUUUAGGGAGCAAAAUAACUCAGACAUAACCACAAUCGAGAACGAGUCCAUGAAGAGCCACAUGAAGAAAUAUCUAACCAAUCAUCUGCAGAGGAUGAUCCUACCACAAAUCCCAGUCUAAUCAGAAGAAUACUUCCCCAGCAUCAAAAUAGAGGUAUCUCUAAACCCACAUAUAAGACUGACCUCUCUAGUAGAGUCAAAUACCCUAUGAGUCAUUUUGUAUCUAACCAUGGCUUAUCAAAAUCAAAUCAGUCAUUUGUGAAUCAAUUAUCUACUGUGUCUAUUCCUAACAGUGUGCAAUAAGCCUUAAAAUAUCGAAAGUGGAAAGGGCUAUGAAUGACGAAAUGAGAUCUCUUUAAAAAAAAUCAAACAUGGGAACUAAUUGAUCUUCCACCAGGAAAGAAACCAGUGGGUUGCCGAUGGAACUAGUUGAUCAUCCACCUCCAUUCUGACAAGCAAUGUUUAUCAGCAAUAACAAAUGACUGAAGCAUUUUAAUGAGGUUAGUAACGAAAAAGAGUUUAAUUAGAGAAUAUUAUAAGAGAAAUUCUAAUUUUUGAUUUUUAAUAAAUUAAAAUAUCUUAAAAUAUUAUUAGUUGGUGGUGGUUUCAUGUCAGAUUAAGACGUGACACCUUACUAAUGAGGUCGAGACAAUUAGCUUAAAUUAUUUCAAUGCAUUUGAAAUUUCCACUAAUGACUAUAAUUCUUUGUCCUAAUUACUAUGAUAAUUAAUAACAUACAAUUGAAAUAGUUAAUAUUAGCACUUGGCAAUAAAUAAUUAAAUUUCAUUAACACUAAAUAAUAAUUGAAUAUGGCUUUGUACAUCGAUGACGCCAGCAACAAGGGGACCGCGAUUAUCACUCUUUAAGUUGCUUUUAAAAUUGAUUUUAGUAGUGAUAUGAUUAUUGUAGUGUUUUUAUUUUUUAUAUUAAAAUUAAGUGAUUUGUUAUAAUAAACUUAGUUGAGUUUAAUGGUAUUACUACAUAAAUUGAAUAGUUAUCAAAUAUUUUAAUAUUUUUAUGGCAAGCGUUGACGUGGCAUUUAUUUGUUGUAUGAUGGAUUUUAAAAUUUAUAAAAUUAUUUGUUAUUAAAUUACCCCCAGAUGCUACAUCACCUGAAACUUAAUAAAGGUAUGAAGACAUGUGUGUGUGGACUGAAAUGAAGAAUAUGGAAAAGUUGAGAGCUGUUGUGCAGAUUGAGUUCAGUUGAUGGGGUCUAUUAGAUAUUGUCUGCUGACGUGGCAUGAAUUCGUUAUAAUCUGUUAUAACGAGUUCAGUAUAUCAGUAUACAAUAGAGCUGAUGGAUGGUGCCUGUUUUAGAGUCUUUUUUAUAUUCAUUUGUUCAUCAUUUUGCGCAAGAUCUGUUCCAUUGUGAUAUGUGUAAAGUCUUAUGUAAACCCACUUAUGAUUGGAUUAGUUCUUGAUUAAUAACAACGAGUAAAUUUUCCUUCAAGUGUGCUGGUCUGUGCCCCUGUUUUUUGUUCUGAUAUUGUUUCUUUGUUCUGGCAUUUCAUUUCGAUUGUGUUCUUGGUGUUUCUACUCAUCAAGAUUUAUGAGUCUUGUUGAGAUUAAAGACUUAAUAGUCUUAACAAGUGGUAUCAGAGCCUGGUGAAUCUCAGCCAUGUCUCUUUCGAAGCAUGAAAUUGAAAAAUUCACCAUUGGUGGUGAUUUCUCGCUUUCGAAAUUAAAAAUGAGGGCUCUCCUUGUGCAUUAGAGGCUUGAAUUUGCUCUGGAAAAAGAUAAUCUAGAGGCUGCUACAAGUUAUGUGACUGAUGAUAAGAAGAGACAAAUCCAAAACCGAGCUCGUAGCACUCUAGUUUUGAGUCUUGGUGACUCAAUCUUGAGAAAGAUUUCUGAAGAGAAGACAACCUUAGGGAUUUGGAACAAGGUAGAAGCUUUGUGUACAAAGAAGUCGCUAGCUCACAGACUAUUCUUGAAGAAAAAGUUAUACACAUUCUCGAUGAGAGAAGGAGUCACAAUUCAAGAUCACAUUGAUACCUUCAACAAGAUCAUUCUUGAUCUUGAAGGGGUGGAAAAUGUGACAAUAAGUGAUGAAGAUAAAGCCUUCUUCUUGUUGAGUUCCUUACCAAAGUCUUAUGAAGGCUUUGUAGAUACAAUGCUUUAUGGCAGAACAACAUUGACUCUUGAAGAUGUUAAAGCAUCUCUAAGUUCAAAAGAGAUUCAGAAGAACAAUGAGAUUGAAACAAAUAAUGGUGAUGGGCUGAUUGCCAGAUCAGAAAAGAAGAAAGAUCAGAAGAAUAAAAAUCAGGGAAAAUGACAUGGAAAGAAUUAAGAAAAUGCAGACAAGAAGAAAAAGAAGAGAAAAUGCUUCUACUGCCGGAAGGAAGGGCAUUACAUCAGGGAUUGUCUUAAAAAGAAAAAAAAAGAAAGUCAAGAGAAGUCAGGGGAUGCAGCUGUAGCCUCUGAUGAUGCCUCUGAUGGAUAUCACAUUGCUGAUUUACUUGUGGCCUCAAAUAGCAAUACUAAAGGUCAGUGGGUCAUAGACUCUGAGUGCUCUUUUCACUUGUGGCCUGAUAAAACCAUAUUUUACAAAUAUGAAGUUGUUGAUGGUGGUAGAGUCUUAAUGGGAAAUAAUAAUGUGUGUAAUCUUGUUGGUAUUGGUUCUGUGAAGAUCAAGAUGUUUGAUGGAACUGUAAGAGCUCUACAUGAGGUGAGGCAUGCUCCUAGGCUAAAGAGAAAUCUAAUCUCUUUAGGCAUGCUAGACAGCUUAGGGUAUUUCUUUAAAUCAGAAAGUGGUGGUUUAGAGAUAAGAAAGGGGACUGAGAUAGUGAUGAAGGGGGUUAAAGAAAAUGGCUUAUAUGUAUUGUAAGGCUCAUCAGUGCUUCUUCAAAAGGGAAUUUCUGCUCUUUUUGAGGAAGAUAUAACCAAGUUAUGACAUCUUAGACUUGGUCAUAUGAGUGUCAAAGGGAUGUAAGAGCUCAGCAAACAAGGGCUACUUGGUGGGGAUAGAAUCCAGCAACUGGAAUUAUGUGAAAAUUGCAUUUUUGGCAAAGCUCACAGGUCCAAGUUUCACAAGGGGGAGCAUAUGUCUAAGCAAGUUUUGGACUAUGCACAUGCUGACCUUUGGGGGCCUGCUCAAGUCCCAUCCUUGAGUGGUGGCAGGUAUUUCAUAUCACUAAUUGAUGAUUACUCAAGGAAGAUGUGGGUCUACAUACUCAAGACCAAAGAUCAAGCCUAGGAAAAAAUUCAAGGUAUAGAAAUCUUUGGUAGAAAAUCAAUUUGGAUUCAAGCUCAAAUGCUUGAGAACUGAUAAUGGUUUGGAAUUUUGUAGCAAAGAAUUUGAGGAAUAUUACAAAAAAACAUGGCAUAAAAAGGCACAAAACAGUCAGGUUCACCCCCCAGCAGAAUGGCUUGGCUGAAAGGAUGAACAUGACCUUGGUAGAUAAGACCAGAUGUAUGUUGAUAAAUUCAAAGCUUCCAAGAAGCUUUUGGGCAGAAGCUGUCAAUACAACAAGUUGUUUGGUUAACAGAAGCCCAUAUUCUGCAAUUGGCUUCAAAACACCAGAAGAAUUGUGGAAGGAAAAACCUGUAAAUUACCAAAAUCUCAGUGUUUUUGGAUGCCCUGCUUAUCUCCACAUCAAUCAAGGCAAGCUGGAAGCUAGGGCCUUGAAAGGAGUCUUUGUUGGAUAUCCUGAUGGGGUUAAGGGAUACAUAAUCUGGUGUAGAGAGUAAGGGAAGUGUAUAGUCAGCAGGGAUGUUGUGUUUCAUGAAUUUGGAUUGCUAAAAGAAAAUGCAGAGAAUGAUACUAGACUACAAAAUGAUUCAAUAAUUAUCAAACAAUCUGGAACUUCCAAGGUUAAGGUGGAGCUGUUUGGAAAUAAAGACAGUAGAAAAGAGGUAGCUGAUUAUGAAGAGAGGACCACAGCUAAAGUUGAGGAACAUGAGUCAUCAGAGUUGCCACAAGCUGACUUGCAGACUUAUCAGUUAGCAAGAGAUAGAGUUAGAAGAGAAGUCAAAGCACUAGUGAGGUAUGGCUAUGCUGACUUAAUUACUUAUGCAUUGUUGUGUGCUGAUGAUGUGGCAAUUGAAGAGCCUGCUAACUUCUCUGAAGUUAUUGAAAGUGUGCAUUGUGAUAAGUGGCUUGAGGCAAUGCAAGAUGAAAUGGGAUCCCUUCAAAGAAAUCAGACCUGGACACUUGUUCCAAAUCUAGGUAAUAAAAAGUUGAUCAGUUGUAAGUGGAUCUUCAAGAAGAAUGAAGGAAUUCCAGAUGUUGAACCUCCCAAAUAUAAAGCAAGGCUAGUGGCUAGGGGGUUUACACAGAGAAAGAGUGUAGAUUUCAAUGAAAAAUUUUCCCCUGUUCUUAAGCACAUUUCAAUAAGAAUUUUAUUAGUCAUGGUAGCCUUACUUGACUUGGAGCUUGAGCAAAUGGAUGUAAAAACAGCAUUCCUUCAUGGUAAUCUUGAAGAACAGAUAUUGAUGGCACAACCUAAAUGUUUUGAGUGCAAAGGAAAUGAGGAUUAUGUUUGUUUGCUGCAUAAGUCCUUGUAUGGACUCAAGCAAUCCCCACGACAGUGGUACAUAAGAUUUGAUGAUUUUAUGGUCUCAAAAGGCUAUCACAUAAGCAAAUAUGACAGUUGUGUUUACUUUGGUGGAUCAUAUCAAGGUGGAGUUGCUUAUUUGCUUCUGUAUGUUGAAGAUAUGUUAAUUGCAAGAAAAUAUAAGUUGGAGAUAGAGAGGUUGAAGAAAUGAAGGAUCUCGGCAAUGCCAAAAGAAUCCUUGGGAUGAACAUUACAAGGGGCAGAUCUGCUGACACUUUGUUCUUGAGUCAUGAGAAAUAUAUCAAGAAGGUUCUGGAGAGGUUUGAGAUGCAAGACUAUAAACCUGUCCAAACACCACUUGGUCCCCAAUUCAAGUUGACAGCAGCUCAAUCAUCAGAAGAUGAGUCUCAGGUGAGUGAAUUCCCAUAUGCACAGGUUGUAGGGAGCCUGAUGUAUGUAAUGGUAUGCACCAGGUCAGAUAUAGCUUAUGCAGUAAGUGUUGUCAGCAAAUUUCUCAGUUGUCUAGGCAAGGUUCACUGGAAUGUUGUAAAAUGGAUAAUGAGAUAUCUUAAGGGCUCUUUUACUUGUGGUUUGCUGUAUGGGAAGACUAAGAGUGACAUAAGUGAAGUCCUGGGGUUUGUAGACUCUGACUUUGCUGGAGAUCUUGAUAGAAUGAAGUCAACCUCAGGGUAUAUGUUUGUGUUAAACAGUUGCCUGAUUAGCUGGAAGUCAUCACUUCAGUCUGUGGUUGCUUUAUCCUCAACUGAAGCUGAGUUUGUUGCAACUACAGAGGCAGUAAAAGAGGCCAUGUGGCUAAGAGGUUUGCUUAAUGAGUUAUGGUUAAAUCAGAAAAUUGUUCAGGUUUUCUGUGAUAACCAAAGUGUCAUACACCUGGUAAAGAAUCAGAUGUAUCAUGAAAGAACCAAGCACAUUGAUGUGAAGCUCCAGUUUAUCAGAGAUGAGGUUGGAAAAGGAACUAUAAUUGUGUCCAAGAUCUAUACCAGUGUGAAUCCAACUGAUGUUAUUACAAAAGCACUUCCCACUGCAAAAUUUGAAUUCUAUGUGAAUCUAAUGGGCAUCUCGCCCAAACCUAACUAAAUUCAAUAGUGAAUUGUAGUUGAAUGAAGGUUUUUUAGGUGCUGUGUUAUUGAAAGGAUCAACUGAAUCAACUGCAAGGUGGAGAAUGUGAAGAUGUGUGUGUGGACUGAAAUGAAGAAUAUGAAAAAGUUGAGAGCUGUUGUGCAGAUUGACUUCAGUUGAUGGGGUCUAUUAGAUAUUGUCUGCUGACGUGGUAUGAAUUCGUUAUAAUCUGUUAUAACGAGUUCAAUAUAUCAGUAUAUAAUGGAGCUGAUGGAUGGUGCCUGUUUUAGAGUCUUUUUCGUAUUCAUUUGUUCAUCAUUUUGCACAAGAUUUGUUCCAUUGUGAUCUGUGUAAAGUCUUCUGUAAAUCCACUCAUGAUUGGAUUAGUUCUUGAUCAAUAACGAGUAAAUUUUCCUUCAAGUGUGCUGGUCUGUGCCCCUGUUUUUGGUUCUAAUAUUGUUUCUUUGUUUUGGCAUUUCAUUUCGAUUGUGUGCUUGGUGUUUCUACUCAUCAAGAUUUGUGAGUCUUGUUGAGAUUAAAGGCUUAAUAGUCUUAACAAAAGGGAAUGUAGCAUUGCCAUUAAUCAACAUUCACUCUUAUGACUUUAUGACAUUAGAAUUAAAAUCUUUCGUACAUUUAAUUUAUUUGCUUCCAAAUUAAUCUUUAAUAAAUAUUUUUUCACAUUAUCAUCAAUGGACAAAACUCCAACGAAAAUAACUACACGAGAACAAUUUAUGCUAGUAUUAAAUGCCACGAUAUCUAUAACUUUGUCUGGAUCGAUCAUUCUAAUUUUUUCGCAGAACUUUUUGUCAAUGGACAAACACCUCACAGAGCUUGUCAGCCGCAUUAUUACGAUGUAAAAUUGUACCGGAAUAUCUUGAAUUAUUAGUAGAAUAAUGAAGACUAUUUGGGGCAAUAAAAACAAAUAACGCAGAUAAAAAAAUGGCUAAAAUUAUGUAAGUGAGCCCCAAAGUUUUUGCUAUUUCCAGGAAAUCCCAAAUUUGAAUGGACUAGAGGGAGGCACGUAAGAAAUACAUUUUCUUCCUAGACAAUGACAGCUAUGACAUCAAGCCACGGUGGCGUCAGUAUUGAAAUUAAGGUGUAAUUAUUCAGCCAAUGAGCCUUACACAUCAAGAUAAAAGUCAAGAUAAUGAAAAUUUGGCUGUUUCCAUUUGAAGUUAAAAGCAACGUUUCUUUCGUUUUGUGGGCGACUCGACUGAGCACGCCCCAAUAGCUAUAUUUAGGGCGUCAAUUUGAUAUUUGAAUGGACAGGCAAGUAAGAAAUACAUUUCCUUCAUAGACAAUGACAACGAGGACAUCAAGCCACAUCAUUAUAGUUUGUAGCCCAUCUACAUUUAAACGAUUAAUAAACAAGCUUAGGUGUGCCACUGCUAUUAUUAAUUAUCCCCUGAUCAUUAUAGUUUCUGAAACAGUAAAACUAAACGAAAUUGAAUACAUCAACGAGACCGCAAUUAUCACUUGUUUAGUUGCGGUAUUUAACUUAAUUUUAAUAUAAUAUAUUUGUUAGUUAAACUUUUAAUAAUCAAAUAAUUUUGAUUUAAAAAUAAAAUUAUAGAAAUUAUUAAUUAUUAAUUAUUAAAAAUUCACAAUUAAGGGAACGUUCAUCAAACACACAUAGCUAUUGUUUUCUCUAUAUAUUGCAGUGUGUACGAUAUUGAGGGUUGAAGCCCCAAGCAUGCUCUAAAAUCCAGAUAAUAAUUAGAUCCGGGCCAAAUAUUCAUCAUUGUGUCAGCUGAUCAGUCGGUGGACAUCUCUAUUGAAAAUAUCUCUGACAUUUCACUCGACAAACUUAUUAAUAUAAAAAAUCUGUGGUUUUGCCGUCUGAAUAAUGUAGAAAAAUUUGUCUAUGCAUUAAUCUAGAUGUUUGAGGUGAUUUAUACAUCUGUGGUAAAGAUUUAUAGGUUGACUUAGACGUCUGUGGUAUAGAUUUUAUGUAUUUCAUUACAAAAUGCUGGCCGUUAGAACCCUUUCUACAUCUAUUUAUAAGAUUAACGGGUGCCAGCUAUGCCAUUACAAAUUAUCCCCUCAUCAGAUAUUUCGUUAAAAUUCAUUCUGAAACACUAAAACUAAAUAAUCGAAUAUGGCUUUGCGGGUCGAUGAUGCCAGCAGCAAUGAGACUGCAAUUAUCACUUGUUUAGUUUCUGUGCUGGCCGUGGUUUACUUCGCAUGGAAUGUGAAAAAAUCAAGGAAAGCAAAUGCUACACUGCCACCAGGACCUCGCGGCUUGCCUGUAUUCGGAUACCUCCCAUUUCUUGGAACUACUGACUUGCACAAGAAAUUCACGGAAUUAUCCGGAGUUUAUGGUCCGAUCUUCAAGCUUUGGCUUGGAAAUAAAUUAUGUGUAGUGGUGAGCUCACCUUCCCUAAUUAGACAAGUGGUUCGUGAUCAAGAUACAACAUUCGCGAACCGUGACCCACCGAAGGCUGCACUAGUGGUCUCCUAUGGUGGCAAUGAUAUUGCAUGGUCCAAUUACGGUCCCGAAUGGAGAAAGUUGCGCAAAUUUUUUGUGGGCAAGAUGAUGAAUAACGCAAGCCUUGAUGCUUGUUAUGCUCUAAGAAGACAAGAGGUUAAAAAUACUAUCAGGGAUUUGUAUAACAACGACAACAAAAUUGGCAAGCCCAUUGACAUUGGUGAAUUGUCGUUUUCAACAUUGGUAUGUGCUAUACAGAACAUGCUGUGGGGUGAAGCGCUUGAAUUAAAAGAGAAAGGGACCACUAAUCUUAGGGCUGGGCUAAAAUUUAAGCUGGCAGAACUCAUGGUGCUUGCGGGAACACCGAAUAUUUCGGAUGUCUUUCCAAUGCUUUCAUGGCUUGACAUACAAGGUAUAGAGAGGAGAGCAAAGAAGAUUUCACUCUGGCUUGAUAAUGUUAUAAAUUCUACUGUUGAACAGCAUAGAAACAAGGAGUUAACUGUUGAAGGUGAAGAAAGAGCGGGGAAAAAUUUUGAAGGAUCAAGGAACAAGAACUUCUUGCAGUUACUAUUGGAGCUUCAAGAAAAUGAUGACAGUGCUUCCUCAAUUAGCAUGAACCAAUUCAAGGCCGUACUCGCGGUAUGUUAAGCAACUAGCCACGAACAGUUAUACAAGCACAAUUGUAUAUUUGCAUGAGUGAUAUUUUCAACCUUUUUUUUUAAUUAGAAUUUUAUUGUCACCUUUUGGACAGGAUAUAAUUACGGCUGGAACCGACACCACAACUACGAUGGUGGAAUGGACAAUGGCAGAGUUGAUGCAGCAUCCACAAGUAAUGAAGAAAGUUCAGGAAGAAUUAGCUCAAGUUGUGGGCAUGGACAGUUGUGUUGAAGAAUUUCACCUGUCUAGAUUAAUGUAUUUAGAUGCUGUGGUGAAGGAAACAUUUCGUCUGCAUCCUGCAGUGCCUUUAUUACUACCACGUAGGGCAAGCGAGAGUGGCAACAUUGGUGGCUAUACCAUUCCCAAAGAUACAACUCUUAUGUUGAAUGUUUGGGCUAUCCACAGGGACCCUCACCUUUGGGAUAAUCCCUUAGAAUUUCGACCCGAGAGGUUUCUGAAUGUUGGUAUCGAGAGUAAGUUCGAUUACUCAGGUAACAAUUUUCAGUACUUGCCAUUUGGUUCUGGUAGAAGGAUGUGUGCUGGGAUUCCUCUAGCUGAGAGGAUGCUGAUGUUUGUUUUGGCUUCGUUAUUGCACUCAUUCGAGUGGGAAUUGCCAACUGGCACAAAGCUAAACUUAUCAGAAAAAUUUGGGAUUGUCAUUAAGAAAAAAGAGCCUUUGGUUGCUAUUCCAACACCAAGACUAUCCAAUUCAGAGCUCUACCAUUAAGACCAAAUGGUUGUGAUGAUUUUGUUAAUUUCCGAAGAUUUGUAUGUUAUUUCAAGUUCAAUCGUAGUAAAAUAUUUCAAAUAAGAGUCCUCCGUUGCUUUUUUUUUUUUUUUUCAACGGCAUAAUCUGUGGUCAUGCUUGUAUUUGGAGCCACUUUAGAAAAAUUAUGUUUGAAUUACAAUUUAUAAAUAUUACAUUUUAAAAUAUUAUGAGGCUAAAUUUAUACACGUUCAAUAACCCGCUUCAUAUAUAUUUAACACAAUUUAUAUCAUACAUUGUACACCCAUUUAUCAUAAAUUACACUAUUUUGUAUCUCUAAAUAAUAUUACGUAUUGAUAUUAUAAAAUAUAUAUGGAAAAGAGAACAAAGAAGAUUUCUUAUGGUUUGAAAAUAUUAUGAAUUCUGCUGUUGAACAGUAUGGAAACAAGGUCUCUGUUGUUAAAGGUGAAGAAGCAACAGGGAACAAUAUUGAAGGAAGAAAUUUCACAUGUUUAGUUGCUGAAUUUGCCGCUGUAUUCUAUCGGUAGUAAAAAAAUUAGAGUUUUUAUUUUUCUCUAUUAAUGUUAAGUCAAUUUUCUAUAACAAAUUCGGUUGAGUUUAAUUGUGUUACAAUAUAAAUUGAAUGAUAAUAGAAUUUUCAACGAAUAUUUCAAUAUUUCUAUCUCGAUUGUUGAAGUGCCAUUUAUUUGUUAUGCGAUCGAUUUUAAAAUUUAUAAAAAUUAUUUGUUACUAAAUUGCAUCAUAUGCUAAAAUCACCUGAAACCUAAUUCCAUAACUAACCCUUUAUUUUUAGUUCUCAAGAAAUCUUGUAAGAACAAAAUUCUUUUAUAACAAAACUUUUACAACACAUUAAUUUGUAACUCAUUCCUGUGCGAGAAUCACUCUCAAAUUCCUUCAAUUGCUGUUGAACAAUCAUCUGCUUAUCAAAAUUCAAGCAUAAUCUUUUCUUUUUUUUAAUUUCUUCAUCAUUCUUUUGAAAAAAAAAAAUCAGGAUAUGCUGUUAAAAUUUUGAAAUAAAUUAUCUCAAAAUAAUUACUAACCAGAAAAAACAAAGGGGUUUAACUAGGUUAUGCAUACCUUUGAAAAUUAUAUGUUGAUCGAUAAGAAUGAUGAUCACGAUUGAGGAGUUUAAUUAAAAUAUAUAAGAUUUUAAAAUUAAUCAGGGUUAAAUUGUGAAUUUUAGAAAGAGAGGUUUUGUGAGAAUGCUGAAAGGGUGUUAAUAGUUCCACUCUUUUUAAAAGCAACCAUAGUCAUCAUUUUUCCCGAUUUCUUCUUCCCAUCUCCAUCUUAUUUAGAAAUUUCCCAGAGCCUUUGUUUCCCACCUUUCAUUGUUCUUCUUUCUAAUUUAAUACUAUAGGAUUACAAAAAUAAUUACUCACAUUUUAUCAAACACCUCCAUUCUACCAAGGCCUUGUUUUAGUAGUAGGCUUUUAUUAUCUCAAUAAAAUUGAAAAAACAAAUCUCAAUAAUAUUGGAAAAAAAAAACCUACCCAUAUUUGUAACUUUAAUUUAUUAUUCUCCAUAGACCUACUUUUUAGCUUUGAAUUUUGUUGGAGCCAUAUAUAAACAGAAUAUGUUGAAUCAGCACCAAAAAAAAAAAAAAAAAACUAAUUAUAUAAUUUCUGUUCCCAAGGACAUGACUGAUUGAUUUUCAAGAAGUUUUGUUUGGCUGGCUACUUAGGUUUAAAUCUUGGUGGAGAUUAGGGGUUAAGAAAUAAAUUUGGACUUUGCACACCCCUUUAACUUUUAAAAAGAAAUGAAAAAAACUAAUUAAUUAAUCUUUAUUUUAUUUAUUAAAUAUCAUAAUCCUAUGCGUAUUUUAUUUGUUAUCUUUCUAUUUAAAAGACAGGAGGGCAGAUAAAACUGAAAUAAAUUUUUAGCCCUAUCUCCAUCUUUCAAGUUCCAUAGUUAGGUGACCAGGUAAAGAAAAUUAAUUGAAAGCUACUCCAUCAAAUUAAAAAAUUUUAUUUAUUUAAUUUGUGGAGAUGUAGAAAAUCAAACCCCAUGCCUUUUCGCGUGGAAAAGUGUCAACCUGGUCUAGCUAUGUUGCAAAAGUGAACAUAUUUUAAUACAUGACUAUCAUCCUUUAUCCUAAAUACUACUAUAACUAAUAACAUACAAUUGAAAUAAUUAAUGUUAACACUUGGCUAUAAAUAAAGGUUUUGUGCUUGAAUCUUCACGCAUGACCUUCAUUCCUUUAUUUACUUUGCUAACACAGAUUUUGAGGCAUUAAAACUAAAUAAUAAUUGACUUUGUGGGCCGAGGAUGCCAGCAACAAGGAGACCACAAUUAUCACUUGUUAAGUUACUCUAAUUGCCGUUGUCUUAUAUUCAUAGAAUAUUAGUAAUAAGAUUAUUGUAGAAUUUUUUUAUAUUAAAAUUAAGUCAAUUUGUUAUAACAAAUUUAGUUGAGUUUAAUCGUGUUACCACAUAAAUUGAAUAAUAAUAAAAUUCUCGACAAAUAUUUCAAUAUUUUUAUCCCAAGCGUUGGAGUGGCAUUUAUUUGUUAUACGAUCAAUUUUAGAAUUUAUAAAAUUAUUCGUUACUGAAUUGCACCAUAUGCUGCAUGACCUGAAACUUAAUAAACGGAACGUAGCGUUGGCACCGUUACUCAACAUACUGUUACGACUUUGUGACAUUAGAAUUAAAAUCUUUUGCACAUUUAAUUUGUUUACUUCCAAAUUAAUAUUUAACAAAAUAUUUUUUCACAUUAUCAAUGGACAAAACUCCAACGAAAAUAACUACACAAGAAAAAUGUAUGCUAGUAUUGUGUGCCAUAUCAUCUGUAAUUUUGUCAGGAUCGAUCAUUCUAAUUUUUAAGCAGAACUUUUUAUCAAUGGACAAACACCUCACACAGCUUGUCAGAGGCAUUAUUAUGAUGGAAAACUGUAAUGGUAUAUCUUGAAUUAUUGGUAGAAUAGUUCUUUGGAGCAAUAAAAACAGAUAAGACAGAUGAGAAAAUUGUCAAUACCCCACCGCAAAAGCAAAAGAAAAAAAGGAAAGGAGACAAAAGAGGAAGAAGAAAAAGAAAAAAGAACGAAGAAAAAAAUGGUGCCGCGCGGUAUAGGCAAGAAGAAAAAAUAAUAAUAAAAUAAUAAAAUAAUAGUGCACAACAGUCAUUUGAUUGCUAUAAAUAAAGGGGCAUUUCCCUCAUUUUAUUCAUCGAAUUCUUCAGUUCCUAAGCGAUUUAAGAGUCUAGUGAUUUGAGAGUUUGGGUAUAGUAUAGUUUUGAGUAGUGAGUUAAAAUAUUACAAUACUUAUAACUUAUUUUUACUAAUAAAAUAUUUUUCUUCUAUCUUCACCCGUGGACGUAGGGUCAAAGCCGAAUCACAUAAUUUUUAGUAUCCCUAUGUGAUUAUGUAUCUCAUUAUUUUUCAAUUUUACUUUAGUUACGUGUCUGCUACAUCCUUCAAUUUACUAACAAAAAUGGCCAAAAUUAUAUAAGUGACCCAAAUUUUUUUGCUAUUUCCAAGAAAUCUCCAAUCUGAAUGGGCCAGACCAGAGGGAGGCAAGUUAGAAAUACGUUUCCUUCAUAGACAAUAACAGCGAUGAGUCGAUGACAUCGAGCCACGUCGGUAUCAAUAUUGAAUUAAAGGUGCAAUUAUUCAGCCAAUGAGCCUUACACAUCAAGAUAAAAGUCAAGAAAAUGAAUAUUUAUCCUAAUUAAAACACUUUCUGGCUGCAUUUAGUUGUUUCCAUUUGAAGUUAAAAGCAACGUUUCUUUCGUUUUGUGGGCAACUCGACUCAGUUAGCUGGCUUCUAGUGCUAGUAAGUGAAAAUAGAAGGCUAAUGAUUUAUUUGUUAUCUUUUGAUAAAAUUAUUAAAGAUAUAAUAGAUUUUUCAUGAUACAAAUAAAAAAUCACAUCAACAUAGCUUCCAAAGUACAACAGCUAAUGUUUACCAAACACUUUGUUGUAGCUUUUAAGCUACAGCUGCCCAACUUUAAUUUCAAAUGCACCCUUAAUAGGUUGAUUGAAUUUGUGGGAUAUAGAUUCCACAUAUCGUAUGACCUAGUAACUAUACAAGUGGUUCGUGAUCAAGACACAACAUUUGCUUCCGGCCCGGUGACCCAGCAAUCGCUGCAUUGGUCGCCACCUAUGGUGCCAACGAUAUUGCAUGGUCCAAUUGUGGCCUUGAAUGGAAAAAGUUGAGCAAAUUAUUUGUGGACACGAUGAUAAGUAACGCAAGCCUUGAUGCUAGUUAUGGUCCAAGAAAACAAGAGAUAUGCAUAACAACAAAAAGGAAAAAAAAAAAAAAAAAAAAAAAGGCAUUUGCAAGCCCAUUGAUAUUGGUGAAUUGUCGAUUUCAACUUUGGCAUGUGUAAUCCAGAGCCUGCGCGCUGUGGUGUGGCGCUGGCACGCUUGCAUUGACGAGGGGACAAGUCUUGGGGCUGAGCUAACAUUUAAGCUCGCAGAACUCAUGGUGCUAAUGGGAACACCAAAUAUUUUUUGACAUAUUUUGGUGCUUUCAUGGUUUAAUUCAAGGUAUAGAAAGGAGUGUUGAGAAUGUCAAAUAAAACGGUAUUGAAUGGAAGUUGUUAAAGACACGAUCCGCACCGAACGACAACAGCACGGUUGCUAAAAAUCCUUCCGUAAUAGGCAUAUCUAAUUUUUGAAAAAGUGUAACCUCUACAUUUAUAAAUAUACUCAAUGUAUAAUGUUUUACUUAAGAAAUGAAAAACUUGUUUGUUCAAGGAGAAUAAAGAAAAAUUUUCUAUGAUUUUUCUAUGGUUUGAACAAAGAAGGUUUUAACGAGUAUUAUAGACCUCGAUUGAAUGUUCGAAUGUAUAAUAAAAGAGAAACUGUCACAUAAAUGACAAAGAUACUUGAAAAAAAAAAAAAAGGGCAGCAAUAGAGAAUUAGAUCCGACUGUACAAAUAACUAGUUAAUUCAUCGAUACAUCAUUUUCUUGCUAGAAAAUGACAAUUAUGACAGCAAGCCACGAUAGUGUCAAUAUUGAAAUUGAUUUGCAAUUAUUCAGCCUAUGAGCCUUACACGUCAAGAUAAAAGUCAAGAAAAUGAAAGUUAAUAUCAAUUAAAACACUUCCAUUUCUAUGUGAAGUUAAAAAACAACGUUUCUUUUGUUUUGUGGGGGAUUCAACUGAGCACGCGCCACUAGCUAGCUGGCUUCUAGUUCUAGCAUAUGAAAACAGAAUUCUAAAGAUUUCACUUUCACCUUUUUUCUUUUUUUGGGGUUUUGAAUCAAAGUCAAGGUCGCACUGAAUAAUAUGUAAAAUUUGAAAAAGAAGAAUUAAUAGAGAACAAAGUUUUGUUUUAAAUUCACAUGGUGUGCAUACAAUUCAACAAACACUUCCUAUAAUAAAUCUGGAGUUGUAUCCCACGUUGAACAAUAAAGGAAAGUCACCUAAAUAUACAUGUAGGAUAAGUUACUUUAUUUAGUAAGUUUGUAUUUUCUUCUUUCUUCUAGUUUACAUAUAAAUUUGAUUAGAUAACUUAACACAUAUUUUAAUACUUGAUCAGAAGCCCGACGUACAGGUGGAUCUAGAAACUUGAUUUCUAAGAGUAAUACUAUAAUAAAAAAAUAAUGAUUCAUAGAACCAAUAUCAAAAUUUGUUUACAAGAUUGCCCCCACUCAAAGGUAAUUUUCAUAGAAAUUAAUAGGAAAUUUAAUUGUUAGUGGGGUCAAAUUGCCCCCACACUCUGAAUGUAGAUCCACGCCCGACCCUGAGUCAAGUAUAUUUUGCCACAUAUACUCUGAAUGUCGGCAGGAAAAAUCUUCCACUUUAGUUAAAAAUUUUCACUUAAAAAAUAUUUAUGUUAAUAAAGUUCGUAAAGGAAAUGAGUUUAAUUAAUGAAUAUUAUAGGAGAAAUUAAAGGAAAUGAGUUUAAUUAAAGAAUAUUAUAGGAGAAAUUCUAUUGUUCGGCUUUUAAUAAAUUAAUUAAUAGGUUUAAAAGAUUAAUAUACAUCAAAAUAUUAUUAGUUGGUGGGGGUUCCACAUCGGACUAAUACGUGUCACCUUACUUGUGAGAUUAAGACAAUCGACUUAGACUAUUUAAAUAUGUUUGAAGCUUAGAUGGCACCGCUUCAAUUUGCAUUACUGAAUGUCAUUCUUUAUCCUAAUUACUACCGUAAUUGAUAACAUGCAAUUGAAGUAACUAAUAUUAGCACUUGGCUAUAAAUGAACUAAAGGCCGUGCAAUUGAAUCUUUACUUGAUCACUUCACUCCUUUAUUUUGCUAACACAGAUUUUGAGAUAUUAAAACGAAAUAAUAAUUGAAUCUGGCUUUGUGGGUCGAUGAUGCUAGCAAAAACGAGACCACAAUUAUCACUUGUUUAUUUGCUGUAUUUGACGUUGUUUCAUAUUGGUAGUAAUAGGGUCAGUUUUUAAUCUUUUUAUAUUAAAGUUAAGUCAAUUUGUUAUCAAAAAAAAAAAUUGGUUGAGUUUAAUUAUAUUGCUAUGUACAUUAAAUAAUUAUAAUAUUCUUGAGGGAAAAAGACACCUAGAACCUCAAGGUUUGGGGAAAUGGUCACAAAGACUCCUAAGUUUUAAAAAAGGAACACUAAGAUCUUUUUUUACCCAUAAUACCCUUUGACUAGAGUAAUUAAAAAAUUGACUUUAAAGGUUUUUAAAUAAUUCUAAUUUAAUAUAAAUCAUAUAAUCUAUCUAGUAAACUAAUAAUAUUAAAUUAUUUUUUAUAUUUAAAAUAAUGUUAAAUUUUAAAUUAUUAUAUUUAUAAAAUUAUAAAGAUUUUAAAUAAAUAUUUGGAUUGAAUAUAUUUUACAAUUAAAAGUCUUCCUAUUAAUAAUAUUAAAAUUUAAUUUUACAAAAUAUAUAUUCAAAAUAUUUUUAAUUUUAAUUUAUUUAUUUUAAUAUUAUGUUUCUACCUAUUAUUAAAAAUUACUUUAAUAUAAUAAAAUAGGUCUAAUAGAUUGAAAAAUAUGAAAAUAUUUUUAAAAUUUUAAAUUAUUUUGAAAUGUAUAUAUUAUUACAUUUAUUUCAAUGUCAUAUUUUCAUUUAUUAUAAAAUUUUGGGGUUAUUUUUUUGGGAAUUUAUAGAGUCAAAGAGCAUUAUAAUUUAAUCCAUGCACAAUAUCUAUAAUUAUAUCGGUUGUCGGCUGAUUUCGUGGAGGGGGCGGCAGUUCAAAAUUUUUACGUGCAUGUUGGAUGGACGUCUCUAUUAAAGGAGAGCCACCACUUGCAUGGUAAUUUUUUUAAAUAAAUAUAUACAUUUCAAAACAUUAUUUUCUUGUUGUAUAGUUAACAUGUCACCUUAGAUGUAUUUUAGAGCUUCUCCUAUUAAAGAUAAUCUCAUGCAGUGUUACAGAGUAUGGUAAUAUGGUAUAGAUGAGAGCAUCUGAUUAAAUGAAGCAGCUGGUAAUGCUUACGUGUGUGAGUUAGUUAUCCAGCUCAGCAGCAAAGCAAACGAAAUGAAUUGCAUGCAUAUUAGAUCCAACAAACUGGUAAACUCUAGAUUCUUCUUUCAUUUAGUAUAAAUACCAAGUUGUUAUCAUUUGCUAAAUAUAUAAUAAGAUGAUCAUUUUCAGAUCUUUCCUUUAUAAUUUUCUAUAACUUUCUCGUUAGUUUCUCUUGAACCAAACACUUUGUACGAACUCUUUCGUGCAGUGAUACUUCUCGUGAUCUAAUCAUUAGUAGAAUCUAUAAUUUCGCUACUGUAAUAAAAUCUGUCACUACCCUAUAUGAAUGUAGAUAUUUGACGCGAUUUGUAAUUGCUUCCGACAGGAAAACAGCAAUAGUUUUAUUGAAAUUUGUGGUAUAGAUUCCACGAAUCUUAUGACAGAAUACUGACCACUCCAACCCUAUCCGCAUUUACACGAUUAAUACACAAGCUUAGAUGUGACAAUGCAUUUGUCACUCAUUCAAAUUCAUCCUGAAACACUAUACACUAAAUAAUCGAAUAUGGCUUCGUGGGUCGAUGAUGCUAGCAGCAACGAGACUGCAAUUAUCACUUGUUUUGUUGCUGUACUUGUCGUGGUCUAUUUCGCAUGGAAUGUAAACAAAUCAAGUAAAGCAAAUGCUAAAUUGCCACCAGGACCUCGGGGCUUGCCAGUAGUCCGAUACCUCCCAUUUCUUGGAACUACUGACUUACACAAGACAUUCACGGAGUUAUCUGGAGUUUAUGGUCCGAUCUUCAAGAUUUGGCUUGGGAAUAAAUUGUGUGUAGUGGUGACCUCGCCUACCCUAGUUAAACAAGUGGUCCGUGAUCAAGAUAUAACAUUCUCAAACCGCGACCCACCGAUCGCUGGAACUGUGACCACCUACGGUGGCAAUGAUAUUGCACUUUCCAAUUACGGUCCCGAAUGGAAAAAGUUGCGAAAAUUAUUUGUGAGCAAGAUGAUGAGUAAUGAGACCCUUGAUGCUUGUUAUGCUCUAAGAAAACAAGAGGUUAAAAAUACUAUCAGGGAUUUGUAUAACAACAAUAAGGAUAAUAUUGGCAAUGGCAAUGGCAAGCCCAUUGACGUUGGUGAAUUGUCGAUUUCAACUUUGGUACGUGUUAUGCAGAACAUGCUGUGGGGUCAAGCAUUGGAAACAAGAGAGAAAGAGAUUACUAAUCUCGGGGCUAAUCUUGCAGAACUCAUGGUGCUACUGGGAACACCAAAUAUUUCGGAUAUUUUUCCAGUGCUUUCAUGGCUUGACAUGCAAGGUAUAGAGAGAAGAGCUAAGAAGAUUUCUCUAUGGUUUGAAAAUAUUAUCAAUUCUGGUGUUGAACAGUAUAGAAACAAGUUCUCUGUUGUUAAAGGUGAAGAAGCUGCAGCACGAAAAAAUAUUGAACGAUCAAGAAAUAAGGACUUCUUGCAGUUGCUGUUGGAGCUUCAGGAAAAUGAAGAUAGUGCUUCAUCUAUUAGCAUGAACCAACUAAAGGCCGUGCUCGUGGUAUGUUAAGCAACUAGACACAAAAAGUUGUAAAAGCACAGCGAUAUAUUUGCGCGAGGCCCCGAGUGAUGUUUUGCCUCGAGAACUCUCAAUUUUAUCUUACGGUAAAAAAUGUUUUUCAACUUUUUUUUUUAAUUAGAAUUUUAUUGCAAUUUAUUUAACAGGACAUAAUUGUGGCCGGAACCGACACCACAACUACGAUGGUGGAAUGGACAAUGGCAGAGUUGAUGCAACAUCCACAAGUAAUGAAGAAAGUUCAAGAAGAAUUCGCUCAAGCUGUGGGCAUGGACAGUUGUGUUGAAGAAUAUCACUUGCCUAAAUUAAAGUAUUUAGAUGCUGUGGUGAAAGAAACAUUUCGUUUGCAUCCUGCGUUGCCCUUAUUGGUACCUCGCACGGCAAGCAAGAAUAGCAACAUUGGUGGCUAUACCAUUCCCAACGACACUAAUCUUAUGUUGAAUGUUUGGGCUAUCCACAGGGACCCUCAACUUUGGGAUAAUCCCUUAGAAUUUCGACCUGAGAGGUUCUUGAAUGAUGGUAUCAUAAGCAAUUUCAAUUACUCGGGUAACAAUUUUCAGUACUUGCCAUUUGGUUCUGGUAGAAGGAUGUGCGCUGGGAUUGCUCUAGCUGAGAGGAUGUUGAUGCUUGUUCUGGCUUCGUUGUUGCACUUGUUUGAGUGGAAAUUGCCCUCGGGCACAAAGCUAGACUUAUCUGAAAAGUAUGGGAUUGUCAUGCGGAAAAAAGAGCCUCUAAUUGCUAUUCCAACACCAAGGCUACCAAAUUCAGAUCUCUACCAGUAAGAUCAAAAUGGUUUUGAUAAUAUUAUUUCCCAUUGUAUUGGAUUUGAAGUUCAAUCAUAAUAAAAUAUUUUAAUAAAAUGUCCUCGGUUGCUAAUUUUUCAAUAGUAUAAUCUGCACCUGUCUUUUAUAGCAAUUUGGUCUAAUUUAUUUUUGAAUUAAAAUCCAUAAAUAUUUAUAUUUUUUUAAUUAUAUUAGGAAUUAUGUGGGGUGUAUGGUCUGAUCUUCGAGCUAUGCCUUGAAAACAAAUUAUGCAUAGUCGUGCACACGCUUUCCCUAAUUAAGUUUGUGGUUCGUGCUCAAGGCACAGCAUUCACCCCCCGCGACCCAACAAUCGCUACAUUGUUCCCCACCUAAAGUGCCAACAUAUUGCAUAAGUAACGCAAAAUAUGGUCCCCAAUGGAAAACGUUGCGCAAAUUAUUUCUGGGCAAGAUGAUAAGUAACGCAAGCCUUGAUGCUUGUUAUGGUCUAAGAAAACAAGAGGUUAAAAAUACUAUCAGAGACAUAUAUAAAACAACAACAGAAAAAAUUGGCAUUAUCAUCGAUAAUGGUGAGUUGUGGAUUUCAACUUUGGUAUGUUUAAUUCAGAACCCGCAGUGGGGUGGCGCUAGCACGCCUGCGUUAGGAGACGAGGGGACCAAUCUUGGGGCCGAGCUAAAAUAUAGGCUUGUAGAGCUC
rnacentral:lncRNA from 1 species